UUAUCUUAAACUUUUUCUAUUUAAUCAAAUGGCAAAGGUUUAAUUAUGAAAAUAUUACAAAAUAAAAGGGUAGAACACAAAAGGUACUUCAAAAAUGUUAAUAUAGAUUAGGUGGGCGACGAGGGUACUAUUCACACAUUCAUGUGACCUAUCAACUAAUUCUUUUUUUUUUUUUUGAAACAGGCUUGCAAACUUUUAUAAAUAGGUGCCCAAUGGUCUAUUUCCGGAUUUAGGCCCAUUACAAUCCCAAAGGGCUCAAUCCACAUACAACAAACCAAACCAAAUAAUAAACCAAACCCGACCCGAUUUUAUGAACCGAACUAAACCAGUUACACAAAACUCUAAUCUCUGAUUGUACAACACAACCAGAGCCGCCGCCCAAGAACCGCGAAUCCUCACCGGACCAUGGCUUCCGGGAGCCUGGACAACGAAAGCCGAACGGAGAUGGUGGAUCUGCUGCCAUCCCGCCACCGUAGAACCGUUUUGAGGAGGAAGAAGAAAAACAAGCUUGUCUUUGUCGAGCAGAUCCAAUCUCAGAAGUGAAAGAGAAAUAGCAGUAGGGAGUAGAUCUAGAGACUUCCAACGGUGGCUUAGCUUUACCUAGCCGCAGACAAUCUCCCCCAUCGAACAAACACGCCGUAAAACCUCCAGAAUCUUCAAUCUUCAGAUCUAACCACUAUCCUUUUUCUUUCUUUUCUGUGAAUCUCGCUCUUCUAAUCCGCGUCGCUACAUCACCGGUAGAUCAAACCGCCGAUGUCUCACAGAAGCUUCUCCUCUCCACAUCUCUCUUGGAUUUGGUCAUAUUGAUUUGCUUAGAAUGAUGCAGCAGAUUACAGAUGAAGAACCAUGAGCCAUGGGGCUCUCAUCGUCACCGGAAUGAACGGAAAACCCCGACGACGACGCACAAGAUUUUGGUCAGAAGAAGAAACUUGUUGGAGAGAAAAAUCGCCGCGAGUGAGAUCCACGCGCCCGCGACUCCCUCUCUCUUUAACACUUUUUUUUUUACCUAUCAACUAAUUCGAUAACAAUUAAAUGAACAACAAAACUAUAAUGUUAGCAUAUCUCAUUUUAUAUACAUGUAAUAAACGAUGGUUGGUUUUUUGAUAAAAUAUGAAAAUGUGUAAGGUAGUUGAGAAGAAAAAUCUUAUUGGAUAUAACUAAUAUAUUGUAAUCUUAUAUAUAACUCGUUAAAUGAUAUAUUAUAUAAUAUAAUAAAUGUGUUAGCUAGAUAAAAGUAUAUUUAUAGAAAUAUAUAGUAUGUUAUCAUAUUAAUCUAAUAAAUAAUCAUGAUAAUAUCUAUCUUAUUAUUUUUGCAACCUUUUUUUUGACCACCUAUGUUAGACUUUUUUUUUUCCUUUGUUUGCCCUUAAAGUCUAAUUAAACACAUAUUUUCGAUGAGGUUAAAUAAGGUCAUAAAUGUAACUAAACAUUUCGGGUCGGUUUAUAAAUGUCAAUUUCAACCCGAUUGAAAUAUUUGGAUAUUGCAUUAGAUUAAUGAGUUGACUUUCAUAUGUACUAUUGACCUCGAAAAUGACCACCUACCUUCUCGGCGCAAAUCUUUCCUUCUAUAACUAAGAGUGAAUAUUUGAUAAUCAAUCAUAAUAACUAUAUUUCCUUUCAUGAAUACAAUCUAAAAUCAAAUGAAUAUAUAAAGCGAAAUAAUCGUCACAUCUUAACUUCUUUCUAAAGUGUUUAUAGAUAACACCUGCAUAUUAUAAAGCAGGCAACCAUUAUCAUUAAUUUAGUAAUCUUGGUAAAUAUUUCUCACUCGCUAAAUGGUUUGAGAUACUUAAACUUAUUCGAUGCUCAGAUCGACACUGUCUUCGCAGCUAUAUCGGUGUUAAAGUACGACGACAUCGAAAUCAUUGUCACGGAAACUGGCUGGCCGUCGAAAGGAGACGAGAACGAAGUCGGAGCCACCUUACCUAACGCAGCGUCUUACAACGGAAACCUAAUCCGUAGGAUCUUGACAUGUGGUGGUAUACCGUUACGUCCUAAACAAGAUCUAACGGUCUAUCUUUUUGCUCUGUUUAACGAGAACAAGAGCAACCUGGUGCUAAUUGUUAUAGUCCUGCUACACUUGAAGCUUAUUAGUUAUUAUCAGAAGAAAGGUCGCGUCUGUGGGAGUUGUUACUUCGGCGGCGCUUACGUCGUUAGCCAACCACCAAGUAAGUUCAUACUGUAACUCUUUUAUUAUUGUGGCGCAUGUUAAGAGUAGGUGUGGGGGUUUCAUGCUAACCGACGCUAUAAUUAGGGUAACGUAGUUUUAUGGUAGUGUGUGUGUUAUGUGUUGACGACAGAGGUCAAAUGUUCCCACGUGAAAACAUAGUGUUUGUGGCUUUACCUCAUCUUUGUCUUUAAAAGAGAACUAGAUGAUGGUACGUGCGGGUGUAUUUUCAAAACAUAGUUUACUGGUUUAGAUUUCUUAAAUAAUGUAACGUGAUUUGGUUUUUUAUAAUUUUUUUAUUUCAUUUAGUUGAAAGAUUAAUGACUGCAUUUGUUAACUGGAGUAGUAUAAUAGAAAUUGUUGAAUUGGAAAACCAAAGUUUAUAAUGAGAAAGUCUUGAAGAUAGUAUUGAAAGACAUGUAACCGAAGUUAUACAUGCAGGAAAUGAAAAGAAAAAAUGGAGAAUUAUAAUUUAAAGGUUUUUGAAUACUUUUUUGAAGACCACAUUGGUUGUUUUUUUCUUUGGUUUGCCAUCUUUAUCAACGAUGACCACCUUCAGUCCCUUUUUGGAAGUAACUUUUGAGAGAGCAACGUAGAGCUUCCCACACAAAAUGAGCAGCUUCAGUCCAUUUUUGAAAGUAAAUACGAUUAAAAUAGUUUGCCACAUCCUCCUGUACGUUUGUGUGGGAAGGUCCGAAAACAUUGUUUAGCUAAUUGCUGCAAAUAUUUUAUUUUCGACUAACCAUUGAACAUGUUAAUCUUUGCAAGACGGAUCAAGCAAUUAACUGGGCUACCUUCUGCCUUUUCACAUUCAUCCCACAUGUUUUCAGCAAAUCUAUACAAAUUAGUUUCUGCCAUUUUUUUGAGUGAAAAAUUUGUUUAUCGCUAAUAAUCUUUUGGGAGGAGUAUACAUCAUCGAUGAAUUCUUCUAUUAUUUAUAUUAAUACUAAUGGAACCUAAAAUAUUCUUGGUAUUUAUUAUUUUCAUACAUUUAGUUGUUAAUGUUUGAUAUAGUUUCGAAUUUCGAAAUUGUUAGGUAUGAUUUUUUGGUUUAGGAAACUAAAUUAAUUGUGAUUUGAUGAAUCCAAUCUAAUGAAUAAAUAUGAUGCUAUAUUUUAGUAAUGUAUUUUUAAGAGUGAUUAUAUUAUUUAAUUAUUUAUAGCAAAAUUUCUGUUGAUGAUGACUAAUUAAAUUUUAUGAGUUUAAUUUGUUUCUAUAACUGUUUCUAUAAUUAAGGGAUUUGAAGUAAUGAAUAAAUUGUUUGCUAUAUUUUAGCAUAACACCAAAAUUUUUAUCGAUGCUGGUUCAUUUAAUUUUAUGAGUUUAUUUUUUUCUAUAAUUGUUUUUUAUAAUUUUAUCGGUUAUGAUGGUAACUACUCGAAUUUCAAAAUUGUUAGUUAUGAUUUUUUUUGUUUAGGAAAAAAAAAAUCAAUCGUGAUUUGAUGAAUCCAAACUAAUGAAUAAAUUAUUUGCUAUAUUUUAGGAAUGUAUUUUAAAGAUUGAUUAUAUUAUUUAAUUAUCUAUAGCAAAAUUUCCAUCGAUGAAGGUACAUUAAAUUUUAUGAGUUUAAUUUGUUUCUAUAAUUGUUUAUAUUAUUAAAGGAUUCGAAGUAAUGAAUAAAUUGUUUGCGAGAAAGACAAGUGGGCCAGUGGUUCUCACCUCUAUUGCUUUCUCACCAGAUCCGGGUUCGAGUCCGGUCCCUCUGAAAGAGAGACCUAUAAUUUGUAAUGAUGUCAAAAAAAAAAAAAAAAAAAAAAAUUGUUUGCUAUAUUUUAGCAUAAUACAAAAAUUUCCGUGGAUGAAGGUUCAUUUAAUUUUAUGAGUUUUAUAAAAUUGUUUCUAUAAUUUAGGGAUUCGGUUAUGAUUGUGUUAAAUUUAAUUUGAUCAGGUAAAUUUGUUUCUAUUAUUUCGGUUAUGUAGUUUUCUUAUUAACAAAUUAGUUUUGUUUAACCUUUUUUAUUAUAUAAACUAUGAUUGACUUAUAUAAAAUGUUUCCCUUUUAAUAGUAUAGAUCGUAUGGUGUUAAUAUUAGAUAUUUAAAGUUUGAUUUUGUGAAUCUAAUUUAUUAACAAAGAAGCUGAUUGGUUUGUGUAAAUGUGGAAUAAGCAGAGUAUGGAAAAUGCGAGUUUCCGACAGGAUACUAAAGAAGAAGAUUUGAGUUAUUUUUAGGGUAAAUUCCUUCUUGGUUAUAUAUUAUAUAUAAUUUGUAUUUUGAUGUAAUUUGUUUUGGUUGUAAUUUUUUUGUUAAUUUUUGUAACUUCUAACUUUUUUUUUUUUUUUUUUAUGUUGGAUUGUUAAUAUCAACUGAGACUAUGUUCUUGAUAUUAAGUAUUUGAGGUUUUUCAAAAGUAUUUGAGGUUUUUCAAAAGUAUUUGAGAUCAUGAAAAUUAUUAAUGUUGGUUAAGAUACAUAAGUCGAGAAAUGUUUAUGGUGGCUACAUUAUUAUACAUGUCAUUAUUUUUUACUUUUUAUGUGGGUUUCACAUGUCAUCUCAACGACUUUCCGACUCAUAAAAUGAAGCCACUUGAAGAAUACAAUGAGCAUACAUAUAGUUUCAUUUGCUCUGUUCUACUUGACUAAGCGAAGUGCCACCUGAAAGGAAGAAAAGAAGAGACAGAAACAAAAGCCGAAAGGAGUCUCCUCUCCCCAAAUACACUACAUCUAUCUUAACAUUUGUAAUCACCUUUAGUUUCAGUUUUCUUUCCCAUCGAAUAUCCUUAGUACAAAGCUAAUUAGCAAAUCUCAUUAAAGUUAAUCAUAUCAAUUAACGAAUCGGGUCGAGUUAUUUUUUCCAAUUUUAAACCCGUUUUCAUUUAAUUGUUGAAUAUUUACUCAACAAAUCUAGAUUUCAUCAACAAUAUAUAUAUAUAUAUAUAUAUAUAUAUAUAUAUAUAUAUAUAACGAACAANNNNNNNNNNNNNNNNNNNNNNNNNNNNNNNNNNNNNNNNNNNNNNNNNNNNNNNNNNNNNNNNNNNNNNNNNNNNNNNNNNNNNNNNNNNNNNNNNNNNUUUUAUUUUAUAAUAUUUUCAAUAACUGACCCUUGCUAUUUCUAUAAUUUUAAAAACUAGAAGGAUUUAAUAUUAACAAACAAAAUCAAAUCUGAUUUCUAUAAGCAUAUAAUUAUUAAUGAUUUUGAUUAUAUUAUAUUAUUACACAAUUUCGAUUAUAUUAUUCCCAUUAAUAUUCUUUUGCUAUAUUUGUUAUAGUAAUAAAAGUCAAAUCCCAAAAAAAUAGCACAUUAACCCUUGGGGAUCAACUAAAUCUCCAUUUUCUAUAACUCUUUUAAAUGCAUAGCAUUAACAUUGAGAAAGAAAAAUGUAAGGCAAUAAUUAAAAUAGCAAAUAUUUUCGAUAAAAUUUCGGAAUCUGAAUUUAUCUAUAUUAAGCUAGGUUUUACUUUGCUAAAUUUAUCUAUAUUUGGUAUGUUAAUAUUUUUGUUUUACUCAAAAAAAAAACAAUAUUAUCCUUUACAAAUUAAACUCGAUGGAAUAUUAAUGGUUUUAUUUAGAAUUUUGGGUUUAAACUUAAAUUGUUGGACACACUUUCUCUCCUUAUAAAUAAAGAGAAGUAAUUGUAUGUUCUCUCUUCCUUACCCUCUCCUUUUUUUUCUUUUUUUUUAAUUGUUUGAUUAUUGUGAAUUUGUGAUUUUGAUACUCAUUGUUUUCGAAUUGAUGCAUAUAUUAGUCUCAACGGGAAUAUGAGGAUGAUUAUUUCACAAAGGCAAUUUUGUUUUCAAAAACUUGAAAUAGUUAUCUCUUUCCUUCAAAAAUAAUUUCAUUUUUUAAGUUCAUUAAAAAUAAAUUUUGCUAUUUAAUUCACCAAAUGAAAUAUUUAAAAUUUUCAAAUUUAAAAUAUGUUAAUCUAUUUUCAAAUUUCCGUAUUCAUUUUAUUUCCUUCAAAUCUUGAAAUUAGUUUAAACAUUUUAUGCAUAUUUUUAAAAUAUAAAUUGGUAACGAAAUAUUUAUUGUAGAGACAACUUUACAACUAAUGAAUAUGAUAUGACUAAUAAUUGCCGUGUAUUUUUACUAAAAGUCAUGAAUUAAAAAAUUUAAGAUGCAAUUAGUAAUGUCAAAAAAGGAUGCAAUUAGUUACUAAUUUAAAACUAAAUUUAAUUAUGUAAUAUUUUUUAUAAAUUCCUUAGAUAGUUAUUUAUAAAAUAAUUAUGAAAAGUAAUUUUGAUGUGGUUACAAAAUAAUAUUGGGUUGGCUACAUAAAUAAAUCUCUAAAAUAUUGCAACCAUAGAUAAUUUAAACUAAUAUUGCAAAAUUAAUAAUCCAAAUUAAUGUUGUAAAAUAACAUUCGUAUUUCCUUUCAUAUUAACAAUAUGAUACUUUAACAAAUAUGAGGUUCACUAUAUUAAAAAUACACAUGAUACUCAUAACUCUUCUAAAAUCCAGCCCAUAUGAAUUCAUCAACAAAAUUUGUUUUUUGCAAAUACAACUAUAUUAUAAUUUUGUAUUAUAACACUAUAACAUUUAUAUUAAUCACUAAAGAAACGCAAUCAUUUUAUUACACAAAAUCACGAGUAUUACAUAUAAUUUUGAAAGAAAAUGGAACCGUGGUGUACCACGGGGUAAAAAUUUGUUUUUGUUUAACAAAAAAAAACCCAAGAAAUUUCCCUUUCGUUCUAUCACAGGUACGAAUCUAACAUAUUGUUCGAUAUAUAUAAACCACAAAGGAUAUAUUGUUCAUGUUGGCAAUCAAAAAAUUAUGCUAAACGAACUUUGUAUAUAACUGUACGUAUAUAUAAACUAUAACGGUUAAGGUUUUACAUAACAUAUAUGCAUAAAAUACCAGCUCCGUGGUGUACCACGGGGUAAAAUCUAGUAUGACUUAUGAUGAUAACUAUGUAUUUAACACAUAAUAAAUAAACUUUUCACGAUAAUAUAUUAUAUAACAAGUAAACAUAUAAUUAUCUACAUCAAUCUUAUAUGAACAUUGAACAAUCAUCAAUAUCCCGUGAUGAACAGUAAUUAUACAUUAUACAUUGAACAAUCAUCAUCCUAAUUAUGUGAGACAAAAAAAAAUAAUUAUACAUUAAAAUAAAAUAAUUGUACCAAGAAAAAUGUGACAAAUAUUGUACUAGGUAAAGAUUUCGUUAGCUCGCUAAAAAUGUUAUAGGGCUAGUUUUGUUAAUUUUUCGAGUGGACCAUAUUUCAAAACUAAUUAAACAUUGUUCUUUUCCUAAAGUCUAAUUUUUUGGUCAACCAUGUAUUAAAAUUAAAAUUCACUCAAAAAUAAAACUAAUGAUAUUUAGUUUAAGAGGCGUGUAUUCAAAAUGGAAUUUUAAGAGAUAAGACCAUGUGCAUCGGUGCAUCCACUUUUUUUGUCCCACUAUUUUUUUUUCUUAUUUUUAGUCUUUAAAAUAUAUAUAUAUAAAAGGUGACCAAUCGCGGUCCGUCACGUGUCAGUGGGGCCCGCAAACAGUUGAGAAAGAGAGCGGAGGACAUCGCAAUUGUGCGUACGUUUCUUAUUUUUUUUUGUUUUUGAUUUAAAUUUAAAUGUUUUUUUUUUUGUGUAGGACAGUGUGUACACACGCCAAUGUGUAUGCUCUAAGAGAGUCUUCAAUAUGAGUUUUAAGUAUCUUUAGCAAGACACUUUUGUUUCUCUUUCUUUAUGAGUGUCUUAAACAUAAUAUUAAAAACAUAAAUAAGACAUUCCAUUUAUCACCAAUGGAGGUGUUCUUAAAAUUUUGUAUGAGUAUGAGUUUCUUUAUAUUUAAAUAUAAUAAGUUUUAUAAGUUCUUGAUAAAAAAAAAAUUAUGGUACCUUCCCUGUAAACCUAUCUUUCUCCCUCUCACUCUUUUCUACAAUAUUUUAGUAGAGGUUAAGAUACAUGUAAUGGACAAUCUAUUAAGUGAAUUUUGACAUUGAAACUCAAAAUCGGCUCAUGGUCCUACCACAUCGUUUAUGCAUGCAGUUGAAUCCAUUUAAUUGUCAUAUUAAAAAUGGUAUGGCAGUACAUAACAUCAACAUUAACACAAACUACUAAGCUAGGAACAUGUUCUUGGUAAAUGAAAUAUAUUAUAAAGUUUAUAUAGCAAACCAAUUUGGUAAAGAUAGACUGUUCAAGAAACCAUUGUUCGAGAUUGAUGAUGAUAAGCUUACUUGAAGUCUUCAUCAUAUCAUUCUUUUUUUUCAUUGUAUUCCAAAAUUUCUUCCUCCAGAAGAAAUCUCACCGAAGCCCUUUGUUCAAGAACUGGCCUUUCCUCGGGAUGGUUCCUGGCUUGGUCGUCACACUCCCUCGAAUAUUUGAUUGGAUGGUUGAGGCUCUUGAGGCCAGCGAUCUGAAUUUUGUUUUCAAAGGAGCCUGGUUUAGUGGAACAGACUUGUUACUCACUGCUGAUCCAAGGAACAUCCAUCACAUACUAAGUUCAAAUUUUCAAAACUACCCUAAAGGUCCUGAAUUCAAGAAGAUCUUUGAUGUUUUGGGCGAUGGAAUUAUAGCUGUUAAUAUGGAGUUGUGGGAGGAUCUGAGGAAGUCAAAUCACUGCAUUUUUCACCAUAAAGAUUUUCUUGAGUAGCAAUAUAAGUAAGGUAAAGAAGGAUCUUUUUCCUAUUCUUGAUAAAGCUAUUGAGGAAAACAUCAUCUUAGACUUGCAAGAUGUGUUUCAGAGAUAUAUGUUCGAUAUUUCCUCGAUUUUAAUGACUGGUUAUGAUCCAAUGUCUCUAUCUAUUGAAAUGCCGGAAGUUGAGUUUGCUGAAGCUGUAGAUCUCGGUGAAGAAGCGAUCUUCUAUAGACAUCUUCAACCUGUGAUUUUGUGGAAGCUUCAAAGAUGGAUUGGGAUUGGUCUUGAGAGGAAGCUGAGAGUUUCGAUGGUUGCUGUCGAUGAAAUGCUUGCGAAGGUCAUUUCUUCAAGAAGAGAGGAGAUAAGUCGUGGGAAAAGAGAGACUUCAAUGGACGUGUUAACAUAUUAUAUGAAUGUGGACACGGCCAAAUAUAAGCUCUUGAACCCAACAAAUGAUAAGUUUAUACGAGAUGUUAUUUUUAGUCAGUUGAUAGCAGGAAGAGAUUCCACAAGCUCAGCUCUCACUUGGUUCUUCUGGCUUCUUUCUACGCAUCCCCAUGUUAUGGCCAAGAUCCGACAUGAAAUCAACACAAAGUAUGAUCCGGCAGACCUAGAAAAACUCAUAUAUCUACAUGCUGCCUUGUCCGAAACUUUAAGACUCUACCCACCAGUUCCCUUUAAUCACAAGUCACCUUUGGAGUCGGAUGUGCUUCCAAGCGGCCACAAAGUUGAAGCACAUUCAAAGAUUAUAAUCCCUAUCUAUGCACUGGGGAGAAUGAGAUCUGUAUGGGGAGAAGACGCAUCAGAGUUCAAACCAGAGAGGUGGUUUUCAGACGAAGGAGGGCUAAGACAUGAACCUUCAUAGAAGUUCCUAACAUUUAAUUCUGGCCCAAGGACUUGUUUGGGUAAGCAUUUGUCUCUCUUGUAAAUGAAGAUAGUAGCUUUGGACAUCAUAAGAAACUACGAAUUUAAGAUCGUUGAAGGUCAAAAGAUCGAACCAGUUCCCUCUGUUAUUCUCAGCAUGAAGCAUGGUCUUAAAGUGAUGGUCAGUAAGAAAGUAUGAUUCUUAUCAUCCCUUGGCUUCUAUGGUAAGUUGGUAACUAUUACUACUCCCUUAUUAAUAAGUGAUGCAGAGCAUCCAAGUGUUGCUUCACUUGGUUUUGGAUUUGCCUAUAAUAAUUUAUUGUAUUGAGAUACCUCUCCAACUAAGAUUAUGGUUUCUCUAUAAAAACGUGGUUCAUGGUGUUGUAAGAGCUCACAACUUUUAUGGAAUAAUAAGAACUAGAAGUUGUAAUGUAUUAAGUAAGCAUUAUGGUCUCAAUACCAUUUGGGAAGCAACUAGUUCUUAAUCCCGAAAAAAGAAAACCAGACUCUACAAUUCAAAGAUUGUAAGGACUCUAUCAAAACACAAGUAACAACGUAAACCCCUAUGGAGAUAGAGAGAAAUAGAGAGAACCGUAAAGAGCCUUUUCACUUAAAGCAUUUGGCGUCCAAGAGAGCCUCACCUUCAAAUGGCUCAGCGUCUUCAAUCAUCUGGCUAACACGUUCUUUCUGGGCUUCAUCAGAGAUAUCAACCUUAGUCCACUCGUACAGCUCCAUGUCGUACACCUCAUCCAUUAUGAACUUGGGGAUCUCUGGUCCACGGAAGAGCCAUAAACCCUUCACUUUGAAUGGACCCUCUGACCCGCAAAUCAGCAUCUUACCAAAGGCAUAUUUGCGUGCCAAGUCCAUACGCUGAAGGAACCCGCCUACCUUGUUGAGAGUGACAAAGGACACCAUGUUCUCAUCAUUGUACUUGUAGUCACAGAACCAUAGUGAGUACCCCUCUGGGUCAUACAUGUCCCAGAAUCCUGCAUUAAAUACAAACAUUGAAGACAUUGAGAUUUUAAAAGAAUGUACUUUCUGGCUCAACGCUAAGCUAUAAGUUAGUAAAGCUACUGUGGGCUGAUAUGGGAGUUAGUGAGGAUUUCACAGCAGAAUUAUGGAAUUAUAGAUUGGAAAAAGAAAAGAAUUUUAGUAGAUUUGUUCUUAACAAAUUGAUUCCAUAAGCUAAAAACAUUUCUUAAAUCUCGUUAAGCAAGACUUCAAAAAAAACACAAAGAACAGUCAAACAUAUAACAUACCUUUAAUAGCAACCUCACGGAAGUUGGAUUUGGUGUUAGAGUAAAGCCUCUUCCAGUCAUCAAGAACCAUUGGGCUUGGGGGUAGCAAAUCAAGAGGAUUCUUGGCUUUGGGCUUUGGUGCUUCUUCCUCCUCAGCAGCCUUUUGUGCCUCUGCUGCAGGGGCAGCCUUCUUAGGCUCCUCCUUGGGCUUUGCAGCCUGUGCAGGUUUCUUAGAUGGAACUGGAGGGACAGCUUCAGUCUGUUUGGCAUCACCCAACACCUUCUUGAAGUUUGGCUGGUUUACCAUUGUCCAGAAGUAUCUCUCAACAUGAGGGAAUGCAGAGGUAAAUUUCUUGGUCAUCACGGUAGCAAAUCCCAAGUUCAAGUUGCAGAUGGUCACAAUAUCAGCAAGGGUAACAGAGUGUCCAACAAGGUAAGUGUUGGAGGCGAGAUGUGUGUUCAGCGCCUCAAGUCCCCUCUUCAAUGCAGAAAUUGCUGCUUCCUCAGCCUUCAUUCAUAAAGACCAAUAUAAAGAUGAGUAACACUAGUCUACUAUUAGUCCAAGAGUGCAAGGGGAAGCAUGAUUUCUAGCACAGAGAGUAUAUGAGACAAAAUAAAAAUUAGGAGAAGCUUACUGGAGCAGAGAAAGGAGCAUAUCCCGCUCUUGGAGCAAACCACUUCAACAUGUGAGAAUCAAUCUCCAACGUGGAGAAAUCAAUCCAUUGCUCAAUUUGAGCCUGAAAGGGUCAACCGAUGCACAUAGUCAUUAGCAAAAAGGUGUAAGAAAUAAUAUAAGUAAAGCCUAGAGAAAAUAAGAGCUUGAGCUUACAUAUUCAAUGAGGGAGGAUCCAUUCAAAGAGUUGUCACCAUUCUUACGGCUCACUGUAUUGGGACAUCAAAAUAGUCAUUAUCUUGAAUACUCUCACGCAAUGAAUCAUGUGAAACAGAGGGAGAAAAAAAGAAGGAAAUGAAAUCAUACCAUAUCGGGCAAUGGCAUUGCUCUCAAAUAUAGGACCUUCAGGAGUCUCAAGCACAGGAACCUAGUAAAGAACAUAACCUUUUAUUAGCCAAGAAAUUACAGCAAACAUCAAUCAAACCAGUCACAGAAACCUUAUCAGAAGAGAUUUCACACCUUUCCAAUAGGGUUCAUCUUAAGAAACUCAGGGGAUUUGUUAGUGACGCCCAUCUGAAAAUCUGCAGAUUCCUCAAUCUUCACACCCGCAUACUCACCAGCAAUGAGUGCCUUGAAGGCACCUUUGUUUCCCUUGUAUGUGUGCAAGACCUAAAAAUUCCCAAAAAACUCACCAAAAUCAAACUUAACUGAAAUUGCAUAGUCACAAAAUCCAAUUCUCGCGAUACUUCAACAUGAAUCGGAUCUCAAAAUUAGACCAAUACACAUGAUCAUCAAACUGAUAUAUAUCGAUAACUAAACCUAAAUCAAUCUAAACUCAAAACUAUAUUCCCAGAAUCGUUACGGCACUAAUCAAACGUAUAAUGAGCUCAGAAGCGAUGAAAUCUCGAGUAAGAGAACUUACCAAAGCCAUUGCUCAAACGCAGAAGAUAUGAACUCGGAGAUCGUCUGAGUUCAGAUCUAGUAUCAAAAGAAAACACAAAGUAAAAGUUAGUGAGUCGUCGUUCAGAUUGAGAGAAGUAGAUAAAGGAGAAGAAGGUGAGAGAUCGAGACUUACGAGAGAGAAGCUUCUGUAAACUUUUCCGAGAGAGAGCAAAGCGAGAGCGAGAGAGAAGACACAAAUGCGGCGGCGAGGGUACUAUAAAAGAGAGUAUUAGGGCUCUAGAUAAUAUUUUUGGUUAUGGUUCGGUUUAGCUUUUUGUUUUGGUUAUCAAAGUGUGGUUUGCUUUGUUUUUUAUUUGGUUAACACUAAUUCUCUAAUUAAAAUGUCCAUAUUUAACUAAUGCUUUUGAAAUUGGUAAACGUCCCAAAAUAAAUAGCUUUUUCAAAAAUAUUUCUUUCUACAAAUUGGUGAGGUAUGUUUUUAAUAAUCUUCCUAAUUUGGUAUCUAUCUAUAUAUAUAAAGUUAACUUUUUCUCUAUUCUGAUGAUGCCACAUAAGCAUCCACCUAAACCACACUUUUUUUACAUUAAAAUAAAUUUAAAACAAUUAUUUAGUGCAUAUUUAUGAUACUUAUUUAAUUAAUAGAAUAUUUAUAUAAAUAAAAAUAAAUUAUGUAAAUAAAUGAAAUGUCAAAUAAGAAAUACUUUCAUUUUUUUAUUAGUUAGUGGUAACAAUAUAAUUCAACUUUCAUUUUAAAUCGAUCAUAGUUUAAAAUUUUAAAUGUGUUACUGAGUUUAAGAAUAUAAGUAAAUUUUAAAUUUAUGGUAGAAUAAAAACAAAAUUUAUGUAGUUGUAUAUAUAAAAUUUUAAAGGGUAAAAUAAAAUUGAAAGUGAAAUAUUAGUUUAUAACAUGAUCAAAAAGAAAAUGCUUUUAAUCCAAAUUUAAAUACUGAAAGAUAAUAAUUCAAGAGAAAAUAAAUAUAAUAUGUUUUGAAAAUCAAUUAAAAAUAAAUAAAAUAUCACAAUAUAAAUAAAAAAAUUAACAAAAAAAUUAUAAACCUCCCGCGCGCAGCGCGGGUCAACUGCUAGUUAUGUAUAAUUUCAGUUUUUUUCCCCAACAUCUUAGCAUUUUAAUUUUAUUUUUCCAUUUUUUGCAUUUAAAAUGUCUCUUUAUAUGAAAUUUUAAUUAGUGACAUUUUUUCGAUAAUUUUCCUUUUUUGUUUUGUUUUGUGGAUGAAUACUAAAAUAUAUUUGUGAUAAAGAAUGAAUAUUUCUUAUUGCGUUCCAAAAAUUAAUAUUCAAAAUAUAUUUUUUUUGUGUUUCUUGCGAGGCUUCAAAAAUACUUUAUAUCUUAUCAUCCAAAAGUUAAAUUAGUUUUUUAUAUAUAAAUUUGUUCGAGUAAAUUUGGUGAUAUAUAAUUGGUGUGACAUUUAAGUAAAUUUAUAAGAUUAGCAACUGAUAAAAGAAUAUGAAAAUUUUAAUAAUUUUUGUUUAUAAUGAACUAAAAAUUUACAUAAGUAAUGACGAGUUGAUCUAGUGGUUAACCUCCUAAAAUGUAAGAAUCAUGAAGGUCAUGAGUUCAAUCCGCAUUUAGAAGGUUUAGCUCUUCAAAGAAAAUCAAAGUUAAAUUAAAUAGUUUGGACAUCUUUGUACCUUUUAAUCAUUAAAAAAUAAGUAAGUAAUUUAACGUAAUUUUUUUUUCUUUAUAAUUAUAUCAAAAUUCAUGUACAUCGAUUUUUUUUUAAAUGUGAGUUUUCUUUAUUUGUCUCUUCAACUAAAUAUAUUAAAUAAAUGUAGGAUUUUGACACACCAACUCCAAGUAUGGUUUUUAAUUAAAUUUGAUGAGUUUUGUAAUCCUUCUUGUUCUUGCAAUUUGUGAAAAUGAUAUAAAUAAUAUCUCUUAGUUAAGUAGCUUCCAAAACGAUUAUUAAAAGGCAUUAUUGGUUGGUCCACUAAACCAUAUUAUUGUUCUUUUGUCAUACAUACAAAGAUAUUUUAUAUAUUGAGUUCAAUUUCUUCUACGAAGUUUACAAAAUUGGUGACCUUCCACAAGUCUUUGCGUAUCAUUUGUUCACAACUUAAACCUUUUGGGUCAACAGUACCAACAACUUUGAAAGCAUUAUCCUCCUCUUCUUCUUCUUCUGCUCUGCGUGUACUUCGGUUUGAUCAAGAAACCAAACUAAAGAUAUAUGGAGGUUCCAAUUUGGCAGUGGUGUUUGAUCAUCUUAGCGAUCAUAUUCUUGGCAUUUGCUUCACAUUUUUUGGGAAGAAUCUUGUGUAGCCCUCGAGAGAAAAUUGUAGAUAGUAAAGUCGGAAAAAAACAUGGACCGGCCGCAGCAGAAAAGACUUCGAAAGGUGGCUCCGAGCAACUUGUGUGAUGAUCUCAAAGAGUAUGCAUCAAGUUUGGAUGGUAAAUUGUAAGUUUCGAUGCUAUUUUUAUACUCUUGUUGUAAAAUAAUACCAAGUUUGGAUGGUAAUUAAUUUGUAAAUUCCACAAAAAUCAAGCAAUGGAGAGACCACAAGAUAAGACUUAUACAAUUAGUAAGUUCCUAAUUAUUAUUUUUCAUUAUUCAUCAUCAAGACUGAUAGAACAAAACACAAUUCGGGUUAAAUACAUUACAUGAGUAGUAAACAUAGACACAUAGUAUCGAAAUUAAACUUAGAUUGUACUGUCAAGCUUGGUGAUGUAAAUCAAAUGAACUGGAGCUGUUAACCGUAACUGAGUUUAGGUUUGGUUCAAUGUUCAUGUUAUGGUUAACCAUAUAUAGGUCCAUAACCAUAAGGUCCAUAACCAUAACUUUAACGUUGAAGUGUUUCAUUAGUUGUUGUAAUAGAGCAUAUGCUAUAUAAAGAUAGAGGUAAGAUAGAUCUUGUGUUAUAAAUAUAUAUAUAUAUAUAUAUAUAUAUAUUCGUUUGUAGCUUCUUCUUCUUUAAUUUUCCAUUUAGUUCUUGGAUCCUUGGUUCAUGCUAUGUUCUUCUUUCUUCUUUUGCGGUAGUUCUUGAGAGAUUCAUGCAGCUUAUAAAAGAAAGAAUACACCAAGAAAAGGUUUUGUGUUUUCUGGUCUAAUAAAGAGUAUAGAAAUCAAUUGGGUAGCCAAGAAAAAAAAUGUUUGUUGGAGAAUAUAGGAAUGAAGGCUGCUUAUCUUAUUCAUAUGAGUAUUACAACAUAUAUAUAGACUGUACAAAGAGGGAUUUAGGUUAAUUACAAUGACCCUUAAGACCUUUCCAUAUACAUCACCUACAUGCCCCCUCAAGAUGGAGGGACUUUUGUAACUCCAAUCUUGGAAAUGACCUCUUGAAACCUUGGUUUAGACAACGGCUUUGUUAGCGGAUCAGCUAGCUGAUCAUGAGUAGACACAUGACUAACUCGCAAAGUUCCUGCUUGUACAUUAUCGCGAAUGAAAUGAUAAUCGAGGGCUAGAUGUUUCAUCCGAGAAUGAAAGAUAGGAUUGGCCGCAAGAUGUGUAGCUCCUAUAUUAUCACAAUAGAUCACUGGUACCUUUGGAAUAACCACUCCGAGUUCGGUAAGGAGCGAUGAUAUCCAUCGGAUUUCAGAAGCAGUAUUGGCCACCGCUCUAUACUCUGCCUCCGUGGAGGACCGUGCAACUCCCGACUGCUUCUUAGAUGACCAAGAGAUAGGACUACCGCCAAGGUAGAUAACAUAGGCAUUAGUGGAGACGUAUGUAUCCGGAUCACCGGCCCAGUCUGCAUCCGAGUACGCAUCGAGAGUGAAACCAUGAAGAGACAUUGGUGUAUUAGCGCGAAGUAAGAUGCCAUGGGACGGAGUACCCACCAAAUAGCGUAAAAUACGUUUAACUGCACACCAAUGAACAUCAGUUGGCUGAUGCAUAAACUGCGACAACCUAUUGACAGCGAAUGCAAUGUCAGGACGAGUAAAAGAUAAGUACUGUAAGCUGCCAAGGACAGCUCGAUACUCCCGGGGAUCGUCUAACUUUGCACCACUAGUUAAAGACAGUUUCGGAGAUGUUGACAUCGGUGUGGAAACAGGUUUGGCAGCAAGCAUCCUCGUUUUGGUGAGUAAAUCAACAAUGUACUUCUUUUGCAUAAGAUGGAGACCCGCCUUCGUCCGAGUUGAGAGCAACUCUCCUAGAUUCUUGAGAGCAAAACGCAGCUCCAGCAGUUGGUCUUCAACUCUCCUAGAUUCUUGAGAGCAAAACGAGAAGCAAUAGUGUUGAUAACAGCAGCAAUAAGAGCAGGUGUGCUGCCAGUAAUCAACAUAUCAUCAACAUAGACUAAGAUGUAGAGAAUAUGUUGACCAUUUCGCUUGAUAAAAAGAGAUGUGUCUGCAACAGAGUUAACAAAACCAAGAGAGAGGAGAUGAGCUCGUAACUCUUGAUACCAAGCGCGUGGUGCCUGUUUCAAUCCAUAAAGCGCCUUUUUAAGUCUGCAAACAUACUGUGGACGUUCCGGAUCAACGAACCCGGGAGGUUGUGUGACGUACACUUCUUCUUGAAGGCGACCUUGAAGGAAGGCAUUGUUGACGUCUAUUUGACGGAUAUUCCACCCAUUGUUGACUGCAACCUGAAGGACUGAGCGGACCGUUGUGGAUUUAAUCACAGGACUGAAUGUGUCAGUGUAGUCACGACCCUGUUGUUGAUGGAAGCCACGGGCAACGAGACGUGCUUUGUACCUAUCAAGAGAGCCAUCAGAUUUAAACUUUAGUGUAAAAAUCCAUUUGCAACCAACAAUAUUUCGAGCCAUUGUAGGUGGAACCAAUUCAUGUGUCCCAUUUCGAAUCUGUGCAUUUAUCUCCUCACUCAUGGCUGCUCGCCACUUCGGAUCCCUUAACGCCUCAGCCACCGUUUUUGGAAUAGUAGGUUUGGGAAUUGUUGUAAAAUGGGCAAAUUUUGGAUUGGGUUUUACGAUUUGGUUUUUCGAACGGGUUGUCAUGGAGUGUUGAUUUUGUGGUGGUUGAACUGGAUUCGGGGGUGAGCCAAUAGGAGGAGGUGAUGGAGAAGGAGGGGGGAGAAUAUUUGGUUGUAAGGAAGAAGACGAUGGUGAUGUGUCAGUUGGGCUUGGUAACAGUGGGCUUUGUGCAGGAGUGAGUGGAUUUGGGCCAGAAAUAGGAGAUGGGCUUUGAGGUUGGCUUACAUUGUGGGUUAUAGAGGCCUGGGUAUCAUUACGCGACGGGUAUGGUGAUGACUGAGACGUUGAGGAAGAUGACACAAGAGGUGUGUGAGCGGACGAGUGUGACGGAGACACAGGUUCCGGCGAGACUACCGGUUGCACAGCUGGCGAGUCGUGGUGAAACGCAGUGGGGGAGUCCGAUACUUGAGCUUGGACGAGUGACGGCACUGGAAUUGCGAUGGUCUGAGAAGAAGACGGCACAUCCGGUUGAGACACAGAUAACCGCGACUGCGAAGCAAAUGGGAAGGCAUCUUCGACGAAUUGGACAUGGCGAGAGACAUAGAUACGACCCAAACUCGGUUCCAAGCACAAGUAGGCACUCUGAGUAAGAGAGUAGCCUAAAAACACACACGAAGCAGAGCGAUCUUGAAGCUUAUUGGUGUUGUAGGGACGAAGCCAAGGGUAACAUAAGCAUCCAAAGACCCUCAAUUUCAUGUAGUUUGGUUUUUCUCCAAACAAACGCUGAUAGGGAGAAACAUUGUCAAGCACCGGUGUGAUUAAACGGUUAAUGAGAUAUACGGCUGUUGCAAAGGCAUAGCUCCAGUACUCUUUGGGCAUAGAAGCAUGGCUGAGGAGCGACAAACCCGUUUCGACAAUAUGACGAUGCUUCCUUUUUGACAAGCCAUUAUGCUCAGGAGUGUGCGGUGGUGUGGUGAGGUGAGUGAUCCCACGAGAAGCUAAGAAGGAGCGAAGCGCUAUAAACUCCCCGCCAUUGUCAGAAUAGAAGGUACCUAUUCUUUGCUUGAAUCGAUUCUCAACGAGAGCAGUGAAUAGAGUGAAGAUCUCCUUCACUUGCGAUUUCUGUUUCAUAGGAUAUAGCCACGUAUAACGCGUGUAAUGAUCAACCAAUACCAAAUAGUACUUGAAACCAUCGAUUGAAAACAGAGGUGAAGUCCACACAUCACUAUAAAUAUAAUGUAGCGGAUGAGUAGAGACAAUCGAAUUGGUUUGAAAUGGAAGCUUAUGACUCUUAUUGAUGAAGCAAUCAGAACACGACAAAUGUUGUUGUAAAGACGAUGAAACAGGUAAUGAAAACUUGGAAACAAGUGCUUUUAAGAGAGGGAGAGCCGGGUGACCAAGUCGUGAAUGCCAUGACGUAAGAGAGGUUUUAGAUGUCGGAGACGUGAAGAACAGCUUUGGCUUCGCAAUGUUAACCGGCCACUCGUACAACUCAUUUUUAGUCCUGCCUUGGAGUAAGUGGACCCCCGUUCUGAGAUCCUUCACCUGGAAGUGAGCGGGAAAGAAUUCAACCGAGACCUUAUUAGCGUUACACAUUCGAUAAACCGAGAUUAAGUUCUUCUUAAUAUCAGGAACAUAAAGAACAUCUUUCAACGCAAGAGGACGAGAAGGAGUAGGGAGAAAAGUGUAACCAGUUUGGGCAAUGCGGAGUGCAGAACCAUCAGCAAUUUGGAUAUCCUCACCGCCAGUGUACGGAUGAUGAAGAGCCAAGUUGUUGAGAUCCGACGUCACAUGAUGCAUAGCUCCACUAUCCAACAUCCAAGGUGCAGCAUCAUAGCCAGGUGCCAUCACCAUGUUGGCACGAGGUUGCCAUGGGGGAUACGCACGUUGUUGGUGAUAGGCGCCAGAGUUGUUUUGUUGAGAAGCUGAUAGCACGUACGGGCACUAUGUCCAUGAGUCCCACAGAUUUGGCAUUUGCCUUGGUACCCACGAGAUUGCGACUGUCCAGGACGCGAUGAAUACUGCUGCUGUUGCCAUGACUGAUUCCCCUGGGAAUUAUUUUUGUUGCGAUUCUGAGAGUUGCCUUUACCAUUGGUAUGAUUAUUACCACGGUAAUUAACUGCAUUAGCACUCGCAGGUAGCGAGGAGGAAGAGGCACCAGCAAGUGUUUGGAGCGUUACUUCAUGGUUGAGCAGCUUCUCGUAUACCUCAGGGAGACGUGGAGUUGUUUCACGGCCAGCAAUCUGAUCUUUGAUUGGUUUGUAUUCAUCCGACAGACCAGCGAGGAUAGCUUCGAUUUGGUCAUCUGGACGCAUCUCACUUUCAAGUAAAGCCAGCUGAUCAAAACGGACCGUAAGGCCAUGAAAGUACUCUUCAAUGGAGCGAGAGCCUUUCUUACACGACUGGAUCUGCAGCUUGAUCUGACGAACAUGACCACGGCUGGGAGCAGCAAACGUUUCACGGAGUGUAGUCCAGAUUUCAUGCGCUGUGGUGGCUUUGGAGAGAAGCGGCUGGACAGUGAGUGCAAUUGCACCAAGCAGAGAGCUGUACAGCAGACGAUCCUGACGUUUCCAAAGCAAGUAAUCAGGAUUAGGAGCCACGACACCAUUGGUAGCGACUGUAGGAGACGGAGCGACAACGGAUCCGUCAAGAUAGCCCAUUAAAUCAUAACCAUCAAGGAGAGCAUAAACCUGGCGGCUCCACAUGAUGAAGUUGGAAGCAGUUAGCUUCGUGACAUUGGACAUAUUAAUACUAAGCAGUUGAGGAGUAUUGACAAUAGCAAUAGUCUCACUGGUGUUUGACAUUUUUGAUAGUCAAAGGAAGAAGACGGCGAAAAAAAAUUUUGGGGUUUUGUUUUUAGGUAUGGAUCGCUUGCUCUAAUACCAUAUAGGAAUGAAGGCUGCUUAUCUUAUUCAUAUGAGUAUUACAACAUAUAUAUAGACUGUACAAAGAGGGAUUUAGGUUAAUUACAAUGACCCUUAAGACCUUUCCAUAUACAUCACCUACAGAGAAGACAAUUAUUGGGAUGUGUCACAACUUUUGUCCGAGAGUUCGUUGACGAAUAACAUCACUUUCACUAGAGUAGUAGAGUCAAUGAUUGACGAAUCUUGAAAGCUUGAGUUUCUCACCGAGAGGAAUGUAAAUAGAGCUUGGCCAUGAAAUAGGAAGAGGUGUAACAAUAUUUCCCAAGCAAAACUCUUGUAAGUAUUACUAGUCUCCGACGUAGCUUUGCUACCAGAAGCAUCAUUGAAGCAUUGAAUGACACAAAAAUCCUAGUCCUCCAUUUCUUUUGCCAUCUUCCUCUAACCAGGUCUGGAACCCCACAAAAAUCUGGUCAAUGCAUGAUUGGAUGCGCUUGCAUGCAAAGGGACAUGAGGAUUUUGAAACAGGACAAUACAUAUGUCGGCAUGGAGGACAUAACACUCUUGAGCAUUAAUCAGCUUACACAAAGCUCAAUAAAGUAAUUUUAGAAGACCGGCCGAUAGCUUUCUGACUUACCAUGUUGACAGUUGAAUAGAAGAGGUCGUUCUUUUUCCUACCAAAGUAUUAUGGUAGACCUAAAUAUUUACCAACUCCUCCUUCUUGAUUUUAAGAUCCAACAGUGUGUCUUGUUUGAGAAACUGAUGGCUGGUUUUUUAUUGUUAAAACACUGUCCCGAGAAACAGAGUAUUUGAGUAUCUCCUUGUCAUCUUUUCAUAACUUCAGCAGCAUAAUCAUUCAUAUCCCAGACGAUGUUUUUGUGAAAACUAUAUUUUGUAGUAUCAAAAAUAUUUAAAUCUCCCCACUAAUAAACUUUGAUCUAUUUGUGUAGAAGUAAAAGUUAAACAUUUGAUCUAUUUGUGUAAAUGAUUACUUUGUCUCUUUAUUACAAAAUAUUAUCAAUCUGUGAAUAGAUUAUACAAGCAGGACUGGAUUUGUGCUAAGCAACGUUGGAGAACAAAGAAGGGUAGCUUCUCUAUUCACAAGUUUGUCACGAAGUACACCAAACGUUGGAGGAAUGUCACAUCCAUUGAUUUUCUCAAUUACAACCACGGUAGUCAUUUAUCAAGACCAUCAAGGAUGUAUACAAGAAUUACUUCAUGAUCAAGUGGUUUGCCAAACUAAGCCAAUUGAUAUGACCAGUCUUUGUCCUCAUGGAUUGCAUAUACUCAUCGAUGGAGCUCUGGUCUUUGGUGUUCUUCUUCAUUUGAUCUAUUAUCUGCUUCAUGUGACCACAAGAGGUAGAAGCAAAGGUAGUGUGCAAGGUUUGCCGAGCCUCCAAUGUGAAUAAAGCUUGUUGUGUUUAUUCAUUAAUGUAGAAGUGUGUUGGAUCCUAUGAUUUAAGGAUUGACAAGAUACUUAAGGAUAUCUGUUGUUUAUUUUAUUCUUUUUUUAUUAUUUUUGUCCACACAGCCGUGGUGCAGUGGUAAGGGAUAAUUGGAGAAAAGUUGGAAGGAACUAACCCAAGUUCGAUCCACCCUGGAAACAAAAAUUAUUGUUGUGUGGAAAGUCUGCCAAUUGGGCCAAGACCUAGUUGGUUUACCUAAUAUAGUCAGAAAUGCAGCCGGCGUGACUACCCCUGACAUUAGUCGGAAAGCAUUCCAAACUCGGGAUAGACAGUGUAGUGGUCCUUCGAAGAAUAGUCCACUCUUAAACAUUUCGGUGUAUUUCUACCGGGGCUGACCGGAUCAGCCGAUAGAAUUUAUCAAAAAAAGAAAAAAAAAUGCUUAAGGAUAUCUUAUGUAUAUGAGUAGUAUAUUCUAACUACUUGAUAAAAAGUCAUACACCAAACGAAAUAUUAAUAUUAUUAUAUUAACUUAUGAUUUCAUAUUACAUUUUACUUAAUCUUUCUGAAGGAAAAAUUCGAGAAUCACCAAGAUAAUGCUUGACAGAUCUCCAAUAACAUUGCUCCUCUUGAUGAAAAAUUGUGGCAUUGGCUUGAUUGUUGACAAGUCAUCAAUACAUUGAUACAUCCAUGCUAUGGUAGUACCUAUUCUAGCGUUUAUAGCAUCAUAGUUUUUAGCUUCCAAAUCUUCAAGGGAAAUUUUAUUAUUGUAAAGAGCAUUACCAUAAUUUUCUACGCAAUCUAGAUAUAUGCUACGAGAAUGGAAAUUAGUCGUGUUUUCCACGAGCAAUUUCAAUUGUUUUAGUGCAUAUGUUAUAUUUUGAGAUUGAUAAUUGAUAAAAAAUUUGGCAAGGCCAGAAAGAUCUAAUGCUGCGAUCUUAGAGGUUGGUUUUAAAACCUCAAAACAAAGUGAGGAAAGAGUUUUUUCCUUGGUGCAGAUGGAGUCGAUCUCACUUUUUGUAAUCAUCAUAUUAAAUCUUGCAUAUGAUGAUGAUACAACAAGAAGUAAAACAACUAUAGAAACCAAGAAAUUAUUAUUUUUUACGGAUGCAACCAUUUUUUUCUGUUCGAGAUGUUUAAGAACUUAUGUGAGAUUUAUAUAGGGUGAAACAUAUCUUAAAUUUUAAUAGAUUACCUAACAAAAUAAAAUGGUAUUCCAUGUUUUACAUUUUGGUAGUUUAGAAACGCUAGCCUUUGACCCAAGAAACUAUAUAUCUUUAUUAACAUUUUUAAAGCAGUUUUUGAAAUAAAUCCUGGAGUUCUGACUUAUUUACAAUCCUAUGUCAUUGCAUUAAUUAUUUAUUUAGAAAAUAUCGAAACCAAUAAUUAUCACAUUUAACAAUAAAUACAAAAUACCAUUUUAGGAUUUCCCAAUUUCCUUCUUUUUUAAAUACUUUUCCAUUAUCUUUAUAUGACCUCAUUUAUUUUUUAAAUUUAUUUUAUUACCUAUUAACAUAUGUGUAAUGAAAAAAAUGCGCAUACGUUGCAAUUUGAAUUUUUUAAAAAUUUUAUGGUACUUUUGUGUAACUUAGGAUUCAAAAUAUAUAUAUACAUAACUGUAAUGGGUCGUCUAUUACACAAACUAUAUGUUCAUACGUUGUUGAAUGAAAUUAAAAAAAAAAAAAGAAUUCUCAUAUUUUUUAUAAUUUAUUAUUAUUUAUUUCUUUAAUAUAUAGUUUUACAUCAUUUUAUUUAUAACAUCAUAUAUAUAAAACUGAAUACGAAAACAAUUACUAAAUGUGGAGAUUUAUUAGAUAACUAAAAGAAUGGAGAAUAUAUAAGUCAGGUAAACUGUUAGCAAUUUGACUAUACAACGCAAGAUCCUAAGUCCUAAACCAUACAAGUCUAACCAACCAAAAAAAUAAAGGGCAAGCAUUGUGAAGAACCAUCAUCAGAUUUUCCCAAAAUGUUUGUUUAUUAUUUGUACUACUUUCUCUAAGAAACUCCCACAAUAUCACCUUCCAUUAGCUGGGCACGAGGCUUGAGCCUGUCUGUUAUCGUCUCUCUUAGCCUUGUCGGCUUGAGCUCGUCGUACAGCCAACAAGAUCUGUCUUUCGUGUUCUUUCAACAUUUCAUCCAAGUUUCCUUCUCCUGGAAUCAAUGGUCCUGAGUAUUGAAUCCUCCCUCUCUUCUCACCAUCAUAACCCUGUUUUCACCAAAUUAUGAUUAGCCACAAAAAUAUACAGACACAGGAAACUAACAAGAACAAUGUGUACCGUUAUUGAUUCUUUGCUAGAGGAUGAGGGGUCAUCUUUUGUAAAACCAUUAGGUUUCUCAAGUAAUCUUUGGGACAAAUUGAAAUUCUCUGAACCAUCUUCAAGCCAGCGUUGAUUCACCAUAGCAUCUCUCAUACUACCAAACUGUGAUCCAUCUCUAGUAUGUGCCAUUGAGUUUGAGAAUCUUGACAAUUGGGCUGCCCCACGUUGGACAUAUGACCUUUGUGUUCUCAGUUGGCUUGAUCCGUUAGGAUGAUUGUCUCCGUUUGAGUAGAUUGGGUAUGGAUUUUGUGCAGUACUGCCCUUCAGUGGUUCGAACCGGAAGCCAUUGCCAGAAUCUCCCUCAGGAAUGAACUUCUCACUCACGCUUGUCUGGUUAGUCUCUCCCAGACGUUUCUUUGAAAACGAAAAAAUCAUAGCAAUAAGAAGAAACAUAGGCAUACAUACACAGACGCACACAUUCAUCUACAAAAAUCAGAAUUUACCUGUAUUGAUGUCAGUAAUUCAGCAUUAGCACUAGGAGCGGGUACAGCUUUGGAUUCUCUAGAAAACCGUUUUGGUUCAUUCUGUUUACUGCUUGCACCUUUCCUUCUGCUCGUAAGCAAAUUGGGAUGUGUCAAUGUUACUGAGAUAAUACAGAGAUAUAACUUGCGUAAAGGGUUCGUAGAUCUGAACUUUACCUUCUUGCUUCCUCCUCUCGAAGUUUGACAUCAAAUUCUUUUCUUGGCGGAUAUCUUGGCAGACUUGAUGGCUCGCUUGGAAAAGGUUUUGUUGUAAAAAACUGAAGAAAGGAAUAUCAAAAUGUAAGUAUAAGCCACAAUGUUACUGAUUUGCAUUUCUCACUUAAAGCAUAAAAAGUAGGCAGAUAGUGAAAAAAGGUGUUAAAGCCCAAAUCUAGUUGCAGGUCAUGAGUUAACCUCGCUUUGAAGGGCGGAGGAUGCGGUUCCUCGUGCAUCUGGUUCUACAGCUAGAAGAACUUCAAGGAGGGCCAAAGCGGAAGGAGGAAGAUCCUUAAAUGUAUCGGCUACACAUCGCUUGUAUGGAUGUUGAGGUUUGAAGAUUGUUGCAUGUCGCAACCGUGAUCUUCUCCAAUACUCCUCAGAAGGUGAACCACAGAGUUUAAAGAUCUUGUGCAUCUGUUCUACCUAUUCAUAUAAGAAACAAAAGGCUCUUGAUAUUCAUUUUCAUCAUUGACAUGUCUAUAUGCCUUCCUAAUAUACAUUAAACUUUUUUGGCGUUAUCAAAGCCAACCUGUCAAAUGUUUAAAAAAAGGGAAACUUUUUGGAAAGGAAACUAAACCUCUGUUCUUCCGGGCAGAAGAGGCUUUCCAGUGAAAAGUUCAGCAAGUAUGCAUCCUGCGCUCCACAGAUCAACCGUAACUCCAUAGUCAGUCGACCCAAGCAGAAGUUCAGGUGGGCGGUACCACAAUGUCACAACACGGCUGGUCAGAGGCUGCUUUCGUUGGCCCCGGUAAAAGUUAGAAAGACCAAAAUCGCCAAUUUUAAGAUUAUUGUUACGAUCCAGAAGAAGAUUUGAGCAUUUGAUGUCUCGGUGCAACACACCACAGCUAUGGCAAUGUUCUAACCCAAGCAGCAGUUGCUUCAUAUAACAUUUAAUCUAGCAAAAAGCAAAUCAGAUACGAAAACUGAUUAUAACCACACCAAAGUCAUUAACAAGCACAUAGCAUACACACUUGCACUUUUCUGUUACCUGUGCCUGAGAGAACUUAAUCCCAGGGGUUGAUGCAAGACCUGCAAGAUCAUGGUCCAUAUAUUCAAAGAUAAGAUACAUACUACCUGAAGCUUUUGAAAUGAUCAGUCCUUCAAGCUUCAUAACAUUUGGAUGGUUAAGUCUACGAAGGAUGAUUAUCUCUCUCGCCAUGAACCGCACACUCUCAGGAUCCAUAUUAGCAAACCGAACCUUCUUAAGUGCAAAUAUUUGAUUAGUUUCGAGAUCACGGGCUCUGUACACACUGCUAUACGUCCCUUGCCCAAUCUGCAAUCAACAAAACAACAGAACUUCAGCAUCAUCUAAGAUUCAAAAGCAAAGACUCAAAAUGUAAUCAAAAAGCCACUCACCAUCUCCAACUUCUCAAAUGAAUCAGCACUUCGAGGAAUCCAUCCAUUGAUAGCUUCACCAGCAACUGAAACCAACCAUGAAGGCCAACCAGCAAUAACUUUAGCUGCUCUAUCUCCAUUACUAACACUACCAAUUCUACUCAUCCUAGGCUGCAAAGGUCCUACAUUAUCAACUAACUCCAAAACGUUUGCUUUCUGCAACACUGAUUCACAAGAUUUCCUCUCAAAGCUAGUCUCUUUCUUCUCCUCCUCUUCCUCAUCCUCAUCCGAGAAAGUGUCCUUGGCCUCAUCAUUAGGUAUCAACCUCAAUGUAGCUUCGUUUCCAUUAACACCUGCUUCCUCUGAAUCAGACUGUUUCUUCAAAGCUUUAGAAUUCUCUUUACCAAUACUUACAUGACUUGUCUCGAUGUAAUCAUCAUUAGUUCGUACUCCUUUUGAGCAAAUACAACCCAUAAUUUGAAUCUUCUUCUUCAACCCAGAAACUAAUCCACCAUCAACAUUCAAAGAUUCAAGCUUUUUCAAAUCCACAAUGCAAAGAUUCGAACUUUAUGUAUCAGAAAAACAGUUUUUAUAAGAAAGUGUCGAAAUUUAAAGAACCCAGAAACCAAUCCUGAAACCCAGAUCGGCAAAGAAGGAAAAAGGUGAGAUUUUUGUAGAUCUAACGAGGAGUUUGAAAUUUUCAGAUCAACAUUGUUGAUUACGAAACUAGUCUGACUUGGUCAAGUAGAGAAGAAAGAUCGUAGAAUUUUUGUGAAAAGAGAGAUUUGCGGAUCUGAGUUGUUUGUUGGUUCAUUAGUCCUAGAGUUGGGGAAAUUGAAAAUUGAAAUUAGAGGUAAGUAGGUCGGUUGGUUUAGGGUUUACAAAAGGAAAUUUUGUGAGAAAAUGGAGAAAAGAAAAAGAAAAAAAAAAAAAAUUGGUGAAGAAGGAACCAAAUAUAUGUAAGAUUCAAGAAGAAGCAAAAGAAAAAGUCAAAGUUCAGCCAAGGAUUUGAGAUGUGUAUUUAAUACAGUUUAAUAAGAUAUUUUAACCGUCUUUACACCGCAGGACAAACACUUCAUUUUAAAUUUAUAGGGACGUCGAGUUGUAACCCCAUGGAAAGUUUUGUUUCUUGCUUCAGCCCCAUCAAAGUUUAAAGUCGAUAUGUAGCUACACAAACGAAACUUUAUUGAUGUUUAACCCCCUCAAACUUAUUUUUGGAGUUAUAACUACUUUUCUGUUAAUCAUAAACGUUUGCCGUCUAAUCUAGUACUAAACCAAAUUGAAAUCUUAGUUAACCAAAAGUCCAACCAAACACAUAAUUUAGAUCCAACUCUAACCACAUUACUAUAUUAACCCAACAUUCUAAUCCAUAACGAAGCUUUAUAAAUUGAACGUGAAAAGGGUUUUGAGAAAGAAAACAAAAAAAAACUGCCGCUUCCUUAAACUGAAAAAAAUUCAGAAGCACGAGGAAGGAGAAAUCGAUCCAGAGAUUGCAAUGAGGUAUGAUAUUCGAACCUUAUUUGUAUUGAUUUAAGACCCAAACUAUAUUUUUAUUUCAAUCAUGAACCUUAUUCUGAAUUUUCUAUUAUUUUGGUUGAUUUAAGUGACGAAGAACAUGCCUCUUGGAGAGAGCAAAUUCAGGAAGUGUUGGAAGAUGAGAGUGAUUCAAGUGACCCAGAUUUUGAGAGCCUUGUUGAAGAUGAAAGUGAAUCUAGUGAAAGUGAAUCCGAUGCUGAAGGCGAUGAAGAGUUGAUGGAAAGGUUUGAGUUAGAAAUUGAAGACUAUGUGGCACAGUUUAGGGACGAGCUUCCGAUGAGACACAAUGAAUAUCCAGGUAGUGACAGCGAUUCUGAAGAUGUUGAAGUGGUUCCUGCAAAUAGAAGACAUCAAAUUAGACGAAGAGGAGAUGGGAAUUUACAUUAUCAACAAGUAUUUUAUAGUGGUGUUGCGUUUAAAGAAGCGGUGUUGGACUAUGCUCUGAAAUCAGGCCGCAACAUAAGACAAUAUAGGUGGGAUCAAAUGAGACUUGGAUACAAAUGUGCUAUGGCUGGUUGUAAUUGGAGAAUAUAUUGCUCACUAAGUCGAAAAAGAAACAGGUGGGAGGUUACAGUUUAUAAAAAUCAGCAUGCUUGCUCUCGAAAUGGUGAAUGUUUGAUGUUGACUGAUCCAGUGAUUGCACGAUUAUUUUUGGACAAGAUACGACAAGAUCCAGAGUUAAUGAUGCCUAUGAAGAUUCAGGAGAUGAUUAAAGAUCAGUGGAAGAUCACUGCUACAAGGAAUCAAUGUCAAGAAGCUAGAAAAAAAGCACUACGGUGGAUUAAGAAAGAACAUGAAGAUCAAUUUGCACAUAUCAGAGGCUACUGCAAAGAGAUCGUUACUUCAAACCCGGAAUCUACUGUGGAAGUUGAAACUGUUUUGGGGCCAGAUGGUAUAGAUCUAUUCGAUCGAUUUUAUGUGUGUUUCAAUAUCCUUAAAAGACAAUGGAAAGCAACAUGUCGUCCCAUUAUAGGAGUAGAUGGUACUUUUCUUAGAGGUGUGAUGAAAGGUCAACUAUUAGUUGCUAUUGGUCGAGAUGCAUGUAACAAAAUUUAUCCAAUAGCUUGGGCUGUUGUACAAGUAGAGAAUGAGAAGAAUUGGUUGUGGUUUGUCAACUUGCUCAAGACUGAUUUAGAUCUUAAAAAUGGCGAUGGGUGUAUCUUAGUCUCAGAUCGGCAAAAGGUAUGCUGUUUUAAUUGGAUUAGUGUAAUGUGAUGUCCAUGUUUUGCUUCUUAUAUGUCAAAAGACUCACUAUGUUUGUUUAUUUCAGGGAUUAAUCAAGGCAGUUGCAAAAGAAUUACCAAAUAUUGAGCAUAGAAAAUGUGUUCAACAUAUUUAUGGUAACUUAAAAGCAGGACAUGGAAAAAAGAUGGAGAUGAAACCAUUGAUUUGGAAUUUGGCAUGGAGCUAUAAUGAAGAGCAAUUUGAAAAAAAUCUGGAAAGGGUUAAAGACUAUGAUUUGGGUGUCUACGGUGAUGUGAUGAAAUCAAACCCAAAGAGUUGGUGUCGUGCUUUCUACAAGAAUGAAGGAAAUUGUUGUGAGGACGUAGAAAACAACUCUUCUGAAUCAUAUAACAAUACCAUUGUUAAAGCAAGAGAAAAACCAAUGAUGCCAAUGUUGGAGACAAUUAGAAGACUAACAAUGGUGCGAAAUUCUACAAGAUAUACCAUUGCAAAUGCUCACUCAAGUAAAUUCACACCAUAUGUCCAGAAGUUUCUUGAUGAAGAACAUGAGGAUGCUGCAAAGGCUUUUGUAUUUUCCUGCACUACUUGGGUCUAUGAGGUUGAAAUUGAUGGUCACUCAGAGAGGGUAGACAUGAGAAGCAGGAUAUGCACUUGUUGUAAGUGGGAUAUUUGUGGGAUCCCUUGUCAGCAUGCUUAUGGAGUUAUACUGAAGAAAAAACUGAAUUCAGAUGAUUACGUUUCUGACUGGUUUCUAACAUCCCGCUGGAGAGAGUUAUACGCUGACAACAUGAAACCACUAAGAGGUUCAAGUCACUGGGCACGAGGUGAUAUCUCACUGGUGAGUGAACCUCCUGAACCGCCACAACCUGGAAGGAAGAAGAAGAGUAAGAAGCAAAAAAGAAAAAAAGGCAUUAAUGAGUCCCCAUCCAAGAAGAAGAAGAAGAAGAAACAGACAAAGAAAAAAGAAGUUUCCAUUUCUCCAUCGAAGACGGUAACUAAGCGGACAAUGCACUGCAAGAAUUGUGGGCAAGCUGGUCACAAUUCUCGUUCUUGUGCUAAAAGAGCCAAACGAGUAAGUUUCUGUUGAUACUAAUGUUUGGUUUCAAUUAUUGUUGGUAGUUAUGCUAAUGUGUUAAUGCUUCUUGAAUAUUGUUUUAGGGUCAUGAUAAAGCUUCUUCCAGUCAAUAUACACAACCCGUUUCGCAAGUGGAUGAUGCGUAGAAGAAGAAAAUGAAUCUCUGCUGUUUUUUUCUGCAUUUUUUUCUGAUUUCUAUUAGAUGUUGUGGAUGAGUGCAAGUUGAGGUUUUAAAUUCGAUUGUUGUAAGACAUUUAAUAUUGCUCUUGAAUCUUUCUUUUGAAUUUCUCAAACACAAAUUUAAACGUACAAACACAGAAGCUUCUUCCAUUGAAUUUUGGACAAGAAACUCCAAUUCCAUCCAAACAAAAUAAUGUUAGGUUAAUGAAGAAAUAUGGUUAGAGUUGGAUCUAAAUUAUGUGUUUGGUUGGACUUUUGGUUAACUAAGAUUUCAAUUUGGUUUAGUACUAGAUUAGACGGCAAACGUUUAUGAUUAACAGAAAAGUAGUUAUAACUCCAAAAAUAAGUUUGAGGGGGUUAAACAUCAAUAAAGUUUCGUUUGUGUAGCUACAUAUCGACUUUAAACUUUGAUGGGGCUGAAGCAAGAAACAAAACUUUCCAUGGGGUUACAACUCGACGUCCCAUUUUCUAAAUUUUACAUAUUAUGUUGGAGAUUAUUUAAUAAUUAUUAAAACUAUAUAAUAUCAAUUUUUACCAAUUCAUUUUGAUUAUAAAUGUUUUAUAUUGUUGUUGUUACAAAGUAGUAAAAUGAAGAUUUUUACAUAUAUUAAAGUAUGAGAUUAAUGAUAUUUUUUUUUAUUAAUAUCAAUUCAAACUCGUCUUGUCUUACAACCUAUCUCAUCAUAUCAUCCAUUGAAAACAUAUUAUUUUCAUAUAAUCACUGACAAAUUAAACUAAACCCAUAUUUAAAAUUAUAGCAAGGUCAAUAAUACUUCAGUUUAAACUCAAAGGUUUUUCUGUACAAAAAUAUUAAUAUAGAUUAAAUUUACUAGAUUUUUUUUUUGUCAACAAAUUUACUAGAUUUUUAAAGCUAAAUUAACCAAUACUAUAUAUCUCUUGGAUUUUUAUUUUAUUUUUUUGGGGUUUAGGAUAGUAAUUUCGUUACUUCUUCUAGUGGGAGUGAACACAUGCAUGCCUUUUGUCACCCGAACACAUGCAUGCCUAAAAUCGGAUUAAGCGAAUGCAGAAAAUUCGCUUCUCUAUCUCAAUUAUGUGGUAUACUUAUUCUAGAAUUUCAUUACUUAUAUCAAAUAAUAUAAUCAAUUGGACCAAAAUUAUGUUAUUUUCUUAAGUUAAUUCAUUCUUCAUUACAUUUGUCUACUCUAGAGGAUAUUAGACCAUCUAGUGAAUAUCACAUAGACUAGCUUAUCUCAAAUAAUCAUGAUUUGGAGUUAUGUGAAUCACAUUUCUUUUAAUAUAUGAUUCAAGUUCGGUUUAACUUGGUGUAGCUGUUAUGUUCUGCAUCAAUUCUAUAUUUGCGGAAAAAGAUAAUUAUACUUUAUGUGUCUGUUAUGUUCCACGAUAUUUAAGGCGUGACAAUUGCAGAAAGUUCUAGAAGAGAAGGAGAUGGCAGAUGCGGCAAAACAUAUUUGGAUUAUGCCAACACAUGAAGAAGCUUCAAGUCAUUGGAAUGAGACUUUUUGGGCACUUGGAGGAUCCAAAUUGUUAGAAGGUACAGUUUCAUUUGUUCCAUUCUUGAUGGAGAUUUUUACUUCCAAGAAACUUGAUGUUUGCAGGUUAUUCUGUCGGAUAGAAAAAGCUUUUUGUCAUCGGUUAUAGCAUCUCCAAGACUCCAACCCACCUCUAUUUUUGCCUCUAAACUCUAUUUUAUAGUCAUUUUUGCUCCAACGCACCUCUAUUAUAAAGGCAAAAAUAGCAAAAACCAUUGGAGAUAGUCUUACCUUGAAUAUUUUGAGCAAACUUAAGUUAUACCUCAAUCUCCAAAGAAACGCACCUUCGAAAGAUGGAGAUAUGUUUUAAGAUCAUUUAUUGGAUUGUGGAUGUAUUUGGUUGAUUGGUAAAAACAGAGAAUACAUUGCUAAAUAAAAUCUUACAGCUACUAGCUGUAUUAAGUAUUAACAGAAAGGUAGAUAGAGCUUUAGCAACACUAACGCGAUAAAGCAAAAACGUUAUUUAUUGGCCAUUGAAGGUGAGAAAGUAGAAAGUAUGAAAACAGAGAAAGAAGCUGAUUGUAUUAUUCAUUGCUUCCUUUAGACUCUCAUAACAUCGAGGUAAGCUUUUCCAUCAAGUGCACGGGAGAACAAGCCAUUGAAAUACUCCUCAGUGGUUACACUUUUGAAAAUAGCAGCCUCGUGCCUUUCCACGAGACUUCUCAUAGGACCAAUAACUUUGCCCAAUCCCAUAUUAUGGAAUGAUGCCACAGAAAGCCUCUCUUUCUCUGAGUUCACAACUCCGCGAUGCUCUAUACUCCGGUAUGUCCCAUUCGUUAUGAUCUACAUUGAUUACCAAUCAUCAGAACCAUUUUACUACAAUGAUAUAUCAAGAAUAGGCUCUCUCGUCCUUAAAACUUACCUCUAAGAUGUCUCCGAUGUUGACAACGAAAGCAUUUGGGAGAGGUUUGACAGAAACCCAUUUGCCAUUUUUCUUGAUUUGGAGUCCAUCAACUUCAUUAACCUGCAACAGUAUGGUGAGUCCUGUAGAGUCAGAAUGCGGAGUUAGACCGAUAACUUUAUCUGGCUCUGGACAAGGAGGGUAGUAAUUCAGCCUGAGUCUCUGCCCUAACUCAUCAUCAAACAACUCUUCCAUUUCCUCGGAUUUGAUCUUCAGUGCUACAGCUACUUUCGCCAGUAGGAUCUUAGCUAUGCUUUUCACUUCAGCCGAAUACGUGUCUAGUGUUUCUCUGAAGAAACAAUAAGCAAACUUUACGCAGAGAAUACUUGUGGAGUUUAAGUAAGAAUGGUUUUACAGAUUUGAGGCAAACCUAAAGGGAAGAGGUAAGUUGGGGAACAAGUGAGGCUUGCGUAAUUGAACAGGUUGCAUUGUAAGGAAGAACAUAUCUGACCAGUCGAGUUUCUGCUCUUCUGAAACCACAAAUACUUGUCCAAAUCCUUCGAUGUCAUCGGGCUGUUGCCACAACUUCUUCUUCUCUUCCAUGGGAAAGUUGAAGAAAUCCUGAAUCUCCGACUUGAAUUUUUCCAAGAAAGUUGAGUCCAUUCCAUGGUUUACAAGCUGUUAGAUAAGCCAGUCAUAAAGAAAUGCCACAACGAUCAAUCUUAUAUAGGGGGUUCAAAAUGGUAAAACACACAAAAAGAGGGAUUGUUUUGUAAAGAAUUGAUUUUUUGCAGGGCAAUUUUGUUAUAUAAAGAAACAAUGUAGUUUGGUUGACCUUAAAAAAAAAAAAAAAAAAUUUAAACAAUGUACAGAUUGAGACUUGCCUGGAAAAAUCCCCAUUCUUUGCAAGCAAAAUCGAGCUUGUCAAUCUCAGAAUCCAAAGAAGACAAAAGACUCAUGUCUAUGAUUGGUAUCUCGUUUCUUAGACCAGUUUCACUGGAGAUCUCAGCUUUGUCUUGAUCAGACCGUACAUACCUCGGAGGAACCGCAGUGAUCAUCUUCUCCUCCACCAUUUCUUGAACAGAAGGAACUAUGAGAGAGCUUCGGGCUGCUCCUUUGCCUUCCAUGACCGUUGCUUCUUGAAAGAUAAAAGAAACUUUAGAUAACCUUCAAUCUAAUGAAGAAGACUAUUGGUUUUAUAUAGAACAUAUGAUAUGAAUUUGACCAAGUCUACGAUGGCUGCAACUCGAUAUCUCAGUUUUAACAUUAAUUUACUGUGAUUUCCCCAUCAAACAAAAGAUUAAAGGAAAAAUAUUUCUGAAUUCAUCUAGCAAGUGUGCUUUUUUUUUUUUGCCUCGACUCUGUCGACAAAAAACGACGCCGUUUUGGUAUAUAUUUGGACAAGUGAUGUCGUUUUAACAACUUACACUAUGGACCACAGAUUUGAACGAUGCAAAUGUUGUUUGUCUUCGGUAACUAAUGAAAGUUCCACGGCGGUUGUGUUGGAAGUGAUCAAGUCUUCAUGUUAUUUUAUUAUCUUAGGAGAGUCAUAUAUUAUAUAGUUAAGUAACUGGUUUAUGUAUAAUCUAUUCGUAUCACAUACCGAAGAGACACGAGUAGAAAUUGUUAACUAUAAAACAGUUACGUGUGUGUUUGUGUCUUUACAUUGGGGUGUUUUUUAGAUAUGUAAACCUAUAAAUACAGUUUAUGUAUCUAACAAAAGUGUGUGGUUUUCGUUUAUAUUCAAGAGUAUACGUUGAGUGUCUAACAAGAAAGAGAUAGUUAUAAAACAGAGUAAAAUCUGUGUUGUCCGAUCCUUAAUAAUUUUGAGAGUUCAAAGUUCUACAAGUUGUGUGGUUCUAAAAUCUGUGUUGUCCGAUCCUUAAUAACUUUGAGAGUUCAAAGUUUAUGAUCAUUAUCCAACUUGUAAUCAUCCAAUUUGCGUCUAAAAUAGUUGUUUAAUAACCAUAGUUCAUCACUCUUUUCUUCCUUCUGCUUUCUUCCUUCACAUUUUCGAAACAAAACCUUCGCAAAACACAAAACAAAGUACCAAGAAAACAAAAAAAAUUCAAACAAGAACGUACCAAUAUAUAAAUCAGUCUAUGUAUACUUCUAUAAAUAAAAUGAAAAUGUUACCUCCAAAAUGUAUUCAGCCAACCGUUGAUUGAACAUUAUACUUUCUUCCCCUUUUUUUUCCAUCUCUUUAAGCACAUCUUGUGCACCUCUAAGCUGCACACACAUAAUAAGAUAUUGCAAGUUCACUAUAUACUAUACUAAUACUGUUAAUAAAUAAUCUAAAGACAACCACUUGAAGCUUUUACAUACCAGAUCAAACCCAUAGUUCUUCUCAAUGGUUCGAAAAAGGUUAACUGCAUAGCCUGAUGGUACUUCUAGACCCAAUGCAUACAUGUGUAGCAAUAUGGAUAGACCAACUUGCUCCUUUAAUAACAUACAAACAGAAUGAAGAAACCAAAACUAAGUUUCACUAUUCAUUAUAAGAAAAAACUAGGUACAAGAAAAACAAAACUACCUCUCGUGAAUCGCAACUAUAUUUGAUAAGCUUCUUGUAUGAUCCGAACGAAUAAGGAAUUUUCAGCUCUUUAAGCAACUCUUUCGAAAUGAGAAAUGCUCCACCAACCUUAUAAUUGCCAAGAAGAUAUUAGAGAUGGGAAGUUUUGUUAGGAACUUGCUCUUAACCCUCGAUACUUACCCGCAGGUUGGGAAUGCUGGUGACAUAGCUAACCACAAGCUCAGAAACAUGAUUGUCUCUAAAACAAUAAGGACCUGCACAUGAAAAAUAGUUACAUGCAAUACUUACAAAGUUUACCAAGUGUACUAGACAUUAAAAAACGAAUUGGUUACACAGCUAAAAUCGCUUCUUAUAAUUACCACUCUUGUACAAUUCACGAAGGAGCUUCUUCGCGACAGGUUCUGAUAGAAACCUUCCAAGGUGUUUGAAAAUGCUUGUCCAAACGCCAAAAGAGUCGACUCUUGUUAUGUCUAGACUCUCUAAUAUCCUCAAAACCUCCUUAUGCUGGUCUUUAUCACAAAGUGCAAGCAGAUAAUUUUCUAUUGAUGAUGGACAUUUUUUAUCGCAAAGUUUCACUCGAUGGAUUCUCCAGCCGCGACGAAGGAUAAUAGUUGGCUUUAAAGGAUUUUCUUCUUUGGUGAUUUUGGCUUUGAAGCUUUUGAUAAUCAUGGAACAAACUUCUUCGAUCUUUUCUUCGUCUUUGAGCUUGAUCCAAAGAAGCAUUUUAUAGUAACAUAAUCUCGCAAGCUUUUCUUGUUGUAACCAUUCCGAUUCACCAUCACCCCUAAUCGCUUCAACAAGCAUAUGGAACUCUUCUACCAUUUUCUUACCAAUUAAGAAGUUAAGAAGAGGACCAUAGAUUUCUUCAUCUGCACUCAUGAAGGAUCCUUUCAUAGCUCCCAUUAGCUCGAAAGCCUUUGCGAUGUGAUCAGUGACAUACUCUUCAUCAUUGCUCUUAUUGGCAUUUUCUAUGUUAAGUAGAAUCGCUGCUUCACAUUCAUCUCUUAGAUGGAAUCCUGAUACAUAGAGUCUACGUGAUGCUGAGGAUUUAGCCCCAGUAUCCAGAGCAGAUUGUAGUUUCGCAUAUGUUCUCGUUUUAGAAUCAUAUUGAGGCGAUAUUAGUUGUGAAGAUUCAAUGAGAGUAUCUACUAGAGCCAUUCGAAAUCACAGAAAAAUAUUGUGACAAAACACAAAGAGAAUCAGUAAUUAUAUUAGGGUAAGUUACUAUAAACAAAAUUAGGGUUAGCUAGGAUCGGAGUACCUGGUUCAGAAAUGGCUGAUGUACUGAGAGCCCUGAUGAUCGAUACUCCGGCGUUUCUUGCGGCUGUGUUGGAGGGUUUUCCGGUAGAUCUGACGGCGAGGUGGACGAAUGUGGUGAGGAAGCUUUUCGACAUUUUUGAAAUCCUUAUAAAAACUUGAUGUGCUGAAAAAAGUAUUUUUUUUUUUAGGGUUUAUGAAUUACUUGCUUGCGUGGCAAGGCCCAUUUAUUCCGCUUUGAGUUUGGCCCAUGUAUAAACGAAAGGUUAAAAUGUAAAUGAAUGGAGUUGACCAAAAAAGAAAAAGAAAAAAGCAAAUUGAUGAAUGGACUAAAUGUAAUAUUCAAUUAAAAUAUUGUAAAAUAAAUUUAAAAAGUUUCUGACCUAUAUGAUGAUGCCAAUUGCCUUUUUUAUAUUAAAAAAAAAAAUUUAACUAUAAAAACGUUACUUGAAGACUUGGGGUGAGCGUCAGAAUUAGGUUCAGUAUUUCGGAUUUUUGGGUAUUGGAAAAUAGGAACUAUUUGGAUAUACUAUUUACGUUUCGGAUCGGUUCGAAUAAAUACUUUUAUAGUUUGGAUAUUUUUGGAUAUACAUGGGGUUUGGUUUUUUUUUUUUUAUCGAAGUCAAAAAAAAAAAAAAACUCAAGAUCAAUCCAAAUUUAUUUUAAAAAAUGUAAAUAAUGUACCAAACUAAACAUGCAAGGUGACUAUAAUCAUUAAUGAAGAUAACCAAAGUUCUCAGACCAAACUGAAUCCUAAAAAAUAAGAAAAAAAUUAAAACACCAAAACAACAAGUUCAAGAGAUUUAGUAUUACUAUUGGUGAAUCAAAAAGAUACAAAAAAAAAAGAAAAAAAAAGUAGGGCUUUAGUGUUAAGAUUAGGAAUAUAUAAGUUUAAUUUGGAUGGUUCGGAUACCUUUUCGGGUAUUUGAGUAUACCCAAUCAAGUUCAGAUACUCAAUAUAUUAGAGAAAAAAAUCCGAUUGGAUAUUAUAUAUGGAUGAUAUGUACCCGAUCUGAACUAUCUAUUUCGUUUAAUUACAGGAGUUUGUAACUAUUGUAUGUUUUACCUAAAUAAUACUUUCGCUAUAUUAUUUAUCAUGAUGUAGAAAAAUUAUACUAAAAAAAUAAAAUUUAACUCCCACAAGUAAAACCAAAAUGUUAAAAAAUGUUCUAAGAAAAUCUAUCGGUCACUUGAAAAUUGUGUACCAUGAAACAUAUUAGAGCUUUCUCGUGUUCAAAUCCGUACCAUGUGUGUCCCAUGUGAUACAAGAUAUGAAUCGUGGCAUUGUUAUGACAUAAAACCACAUGAAUACCAAAUUGAACUAAACCUUGAUCUAUAUAUACCAUUACUCACCAUCGGAACUUGUAAUCAGAGAACAUACCAAAGAACUUGUCUAGUUGAAACUUUGUCGACCCCAUAUCUUUGAUCACAUCUUCCGUAAUGUCUAACUGCAAAAGACAUAAAUACUAAGAACACAAAACAACUAAACCGUACGAGUAUGAUAUAGUGAUAUAGGCAUUGACAUAAUUAAGGGGAAAAAAACACAACAACUUACCCAAUCAAUGUUAUAGAUUCUAUCAAUGGUGUCGUGGAAAUAACGCCCGUACUCGGAGUCUUCUAUCAAACCAUUUUCCCUCAUUUCAUCUACUAUCUUUGCUACCAGUGGUACCUAAAAUAUACAAAAGUGUUACCAAUCAAACAUCAAAGAGACACGAUUGCGAAAAAGCUUAUAAAAGUUGCUAUCACAAUCUGGUUUUAUUUGAGUAUUAUAUAUACCUUACAAUGAUCAUUUUCUGAGUAAUAAUGAUCAACUUGUGAGGCACAAUCAAAUUCGAUCAGCUUUUCAAAAACAUCAAAUGAAGGCUUAACCCCGACCUCUCUAUGCAGCAACCGGCACAUCUCAAAUGCGUUAGCCUUCCCAGGUAUAUGCUGAUUCAAAUCAAACCAAGCCAAAGGAGCCACUAAUUAGUUUCAGGGAAAAUAUAACAGAAUCCUAAAUCACAUGAGAAUUGAGAACUAGUAGAUGAAUUCAAGAAAACCUCACCUUGUCAUAUUCGAUGCUAGUUGCGUAGCUAAAAACGAGGUUUGAAAUAUGCUCAUCCCAUGCUGCAUGCAUAUAAUAGAUUUUGAAAAUGUAAUAUAUAGUUUAAUAGAUGUAACAAAGAUUAGUGAAUUCUCACAACUUACAUGUUCCUUUCAGUACCCCAAGUAACCUCUUAGCAUCAAACAUCAAAUCCAACCGACCAAGAUAUUCAAAUAUUGGUGUCAAUUGGUCCAACGAAGAAGCUUUAGUUAUGUCUACAGUCUCUAACAACGUCUUAAGAAACUCAUAUUGAUAUGUCACACAAAAUGCCUCCAGAUAAUUCACUGAAAAGUCAUCACAAGAAUUAUUAUAAGCUUUAGAUCUUCUUUAACUUUUUUAACAAGUUUACGUUACAUUAAUUCCGUACCUUCCAAGCUCGAUAGCUUGUCCCAUCUGUCGAUGAUUCUUCGGCCAAUCUCAUCGAUCUUUUUUUCGUUUUUGAGCUCAAUCUAUAGAAUCAUCUCAUAGUAACCAAGUCCGGAUGAAGAAUCAGGAAAUGCCUCCUUGAUUGUUCUAAUAAGAAACCGAGACUUCACUUUGUUAUGCCUCUCAAUUAAGUCACAAAGUUCACUUCUAUACAUUUUUUCUUCUAUUGAGAGACCUUUCUUCUUCAUAAACCCGAAAACACUCAUGAGUUUUGCUUGACUUUCACCAGAGAAAUUGGAAUCGUCAUUUCUAAUCAACAUAGCGACUGAACACCUAUUGGGGAAUAUGGAAUCUCUUAUCUUAUAUUUUGCGACUGAUUUACAAUGUUUUACGCUCACUGUUACUCCCAACCUGCGAAGCGUUUCAAGAUCUUCAUGCCACGUUUCGGUUAUAAUUUCUGCAGUGCCAAACAAACGAUAGUAGUGACGUUUCUUAGCAAACCCUAGUUUCUUAGCAAACCCUAGUUUCUUAGCAAACCCUAGUUUCUCUCUUUGAAGAAAGAAAAAAAAACCCUAGUUUCUUCUGACUGAAGAUGGAACGAAAUAUAGGGGUGGAGAUAAAGAUACCUGGUUUGAUGAUUGAAGAAGUGUGAAGACAUCGGGAAAUCUCAGCCGUUCUGUAAGAAAUUCCGGAGUGAUUCACUGCGACUGAGGCUUGGUUAUGACGGUAUUUAAACGCGAAGCCGAGGAGGUUGCCUAGGCUUUUAGACUUCGAUGCUGCCAUUUUUUAAAAUAUGGAUCGUUUGACGAGAGGAAGAAGUGAGGAUGAAAGGAGAAGUUUACUCAAUCAGAGAGAGAGAUAGAAGGAAGAGAAGGAAACGUGACGAACAAGGAAAUGUGGUGACGGAAUUAAAAAAAAGCCUAGGGUUUUAGGAAUACAACCUAUUAUUUUACUUUUGUUAUAAAACUAGGCAUAGCCAAAAGCUAACCUUUAACCGUAAAAUAAUAGGAGGUGAUAUACUCAAAACCAUGGAGGCAUAUAUGAUGUGAUAUUUUCUAAGGACAUUUAAAUGUAUCUAUACUAUUAAAGCUGAAGUAUCCAUUAGUUUUACACUAAAGUUUUUAAAUGAAAUAAAAUACACCUAAUCAGAUAUUUUAUCUUUGGAUAUUUGGGUAUGGAAAAUGAAUCAUAUAUUCCUACACCAGAUUAUAUUAUUUCCAUAUUUAAUUUUGAUUUUCCUAAAAUAUCUCUACCUAAUUUAAUCUAAUAUAUUAAAAAAUUAUUACUCUUCUUUCAUGUUUAUAUGAUCUCAUUUAUAUUUUAUUAUAUUAAACAUAUGAAUAAUAAAAAUAUAAUUUUCCGCAUAUGUUGCGCUUUGAAUUUUUUAAAACGGACAUAUAUUACUAUAAAUUGAAAAAUAAAAAUUAACUAUAUCAUAAUUAUAAAUUAUAAUUUAUUUAUUUAACUAUUCGAGAAAAGUCAUCCGUGAAAUAGCACGAGCUAUUCUCUAGUAUAUUAUUAUAAUCAUUUUUAGAUUCUUGUCUCAGGUCAAACGCAAACGAGAUUGUAUUCCAAACGAAAACGACAAUUCAUACAAUGCAAUUGAUUAAGACAAGUCCCCUAAGCCCACAAAUAACUCAACCAAGACCUGAAAACAUUUGGAGAUCAGACCAAGACAUUGCUUAUUUGCUUAAAACCAAAUCACCAAUCAUCUAAACCGCAUCGUCUACGACCGGGGAAAGACAGUCAUCGUCAUCCGAGCCAAAUAACCCUCUCUCGUCACUACUGUCAUAGUCGUAAUUACAAUAAUCAUGUAACUCACAACCAUAACCAAUAAAACGGUUCUCAUAAUCAUCCAGUUUACUUCUAAAGUAGCUUUUCUUUAACCAUUGUUUAUAUUGACUUCCUUCCUUAUGUUUAGGUUCACAUCUUCCAAACAACACCUUCCCAAAAACAAAACAAAAGGUUACAAACUAUACAACAAAAGGCUACAAACUAUACAAUAAAACACACUUCAAAAAAAUACAAAAAGAGCUCACCUCCCAAAUGUAUACAGCUAACCGAAGAUUGAACAUUCUACUUUCGUCCUUUUCUUUAUUCAUCAUCCUAAGCACAUUUUGUACCGCUCUAAGCUGCAUGUACACACGUAUUAUGAUAUAAGGAAACAAGACACAUAAUGUAUACUAAAGAAAUUUUGAAAGGGCAACAAUUUGAGCCUUUCACAUACCAUAUCAAACUCAUAGUUCUGCUCAAUGGUACGAAAAAGGUAAGUCGCGGUGUCUGAUGAUACUUCUAGACCCAAUUCAUACAUGUGUUCCAAUAUGUAUAAACCGAUCUCCCCCUAUUAUAAAGUAAAAUUAAACAGUUGAAGAGAGCGCUUUAUCGAAAAACAUGAGCUAGAAUCGAAAUUAACCUCGCGUGAGUCGCAACUAUAUUUUAUAAACUUCUGAUAUGAUGCGGAUGAAGGGGAAGCUUUAAGUUCUUCAAGCAACUCGUUGAACUUGCAAAUGGCAUCACCAACCUUAUAAAUUGCCAAGCAAAACAUUAUAAAAUAAACCUGCAAAGCAUAUUGACGAACAUAAACAUUUUAAGCAAAAUAAUGAUUUUUCUACUUACCCCCAUGUUAGGAAUGCUGAGUACAUAGCUAAAGAUCAGGUCAGAAACUUUCUUAUAUCUAAAACAGGAAAGAUCUUUCUUGCUCACUUCACGGAGAAGCUUCUUCGCAACAGAUUCUGAAACCGACCUUCCAAGGUACUCGAAAAUGCUUGUCAAAAUCUCGAAAGAACAAACUCUUGUGUCUAGAGUCUCUAGUAUUCUCAAAACCUCCUUAUGCUGGUCUUUCUCACAAAGUGCAAACAUAUAACUUUCUGUUAAUAAACAUCGUUUUCCGCUGCAAUGCUCUUUGAAGCUUUUGAUAAUCAUAGAACAAACUCCCUCGAUCUUUUCUUCGUCUUUGAGUUGGAUCCAAAGAACCAAUUCAUAGUAACCAAAUCUCGUAAACUCUGGAGAAGAAUGAUCAAUCCAUUGACCAUCACGAAUCAUAUCGAAUAUCCUAUAGAAUUCUUCUUCCAUUUUCAUAUCAAUCAAUAAAUUUAGAAGAGGACCAUAAACUCCUUCUUCUACAAGGAAACCUUCUCUUGUCAUGGCGGCCACAAGCUCGAAAGCUUUUGCUAUCUGUUCGACAGCAUACUCUUCAUCCUCGCUCCUUUUCGCAUUUUCUAUGUUAAGUAGAAUUGCUUUUUUGCAUUCUUCAAAAACCUCAGGGAACCCUAAUGAGUUAAGCGUAUGUAAUGCUCUACCAGAAGUUUCAGCACCAAUUUCGAGAGCACAUCGUAGUCUCGCAUAUGAGCUAAUUUCAAAAGCAUAUGGAGGCGCAAAUUGUUGUGAAGUUUCUGUGAAAGUAUCUAUGCCACAACAAGACAAGAGUAAUAUAGUUAAAAGAAUAUAAGGUCGACAAGAGUAAUAUAGUUAAAAGAAUAUAAGGUCGAUCUAUGAAACUAAAGGAUAUAAUCUUAAAAUUAGGGUUUAUGAGUAUACCUAGUUCAGAAAUGGCUCGAGUAUUAAGAGCCCUAACAAUCAAAACUCUGACGUUUCUUGUGGCUGUGUUGGAGGCUUUUCCGGUAGAUCUCACGGCGAAGCUGACGAAUGUUGUGAUGAGGCUCCUCGGCAUUCUUGACAAAGCCACUCGCAAUCUAAGGCAUAGCCGAGAGGAUUGAGUUAAUGAUUAAAAACCAAAACAUUAUUUAGGGUUUGAAAUUGUUUGUGCGUUACUUGCGGGGCAAGGCCAUUUUCGUCACUUCUAAGGCCAUUUAUUAAGUAAAAUAAAAUAAUAUAAAAUAAAAUAAAAUAAACAACAAAAAAGUUUGGGAAUUUAAUGAAAAAACCCCUCAACAUUGGUGUGAUCAAUUUUUAAACCCUCAACUAUUUUUUAGGUAAAUAAAACCCUGAACUAAAAACAUUAACAAAUUUAAUCCUUCACCUAUAAAAAACCUAAACACACGUAAUAAUCUCUUCUACGCAAUCAACGUUUGUUUAACUGAAACAAAAAAAAACUAAGCAUUAGUUUUUAAAUACAAAAAUUAACAACAAACCUUCUCUGAAGAACCUUCGUUUUCCAUAAACGUUCACACGUCGAAUAAUAGAUCACCAAAAAAACUCUCAAAUCGUGAAAUCCUAAAACCUCAAAAUUCCAAAUGUUGAACGGUUAGUGAAAAAGAAACUAAAGUAGGUUUAAUAGGCGAUUGACACAGAGUUAAUCGAGGGUGAGACGCAUAAUUAAAUUUAAUGAUGGAUGACAUUAACUCAUCGAGUCUCCAUUAUGGAGUGAGGUAUUGAUGGAACAUAUGUCUAUUUCAUCUGGUUUGAAUUUUGUAAAUUAUUGUGGUAAGUCAAAUUUUUUUGUUUGUUGUUGUAAAUAUGUUUCAGAAUAAGCAUUUUGCAUAAAAUAUGAGAAAAUUUUAUAUUUUCCAUCAGGAAUUGCAGAAUACUAUAAUCGAAAAUUGUGUUGUGAUUGUAAUAUGUUUAAAAAUAUGCCUAGUGGUUUUCGUUUUACUAUUCUGCUAGAGUAUACCAAAUUGUAACGAUAUAAAUGUAUGCUUUUAUAGACGGAGGGUUAAAUUUGUUAAUGUUUUUUAGUUUAGGGUUUUAUUUACUAAAAAAAUAGUUGAGGGUUUAAAAAUGGAUCCAGCCAAUGUUGAGGGUUUUUUUCAUUAAAUUCUCAAAAAGUUUCAAAAACCCUUCAAAGAAAUUUAAAAACAGAAUCAGAAUGGUGUAAUCUAAUAAAUAUGAAAGCCGAACAUAAACAUUAAACAUCCAAUUGUGUAGGAUGUGUCUGUCUUCAAACUUAGUCGAGCUUACAAGGAUGUAACAUUGAUCUUGAUCUUGAUCUUAAUCUUGAUCUUCCUCUUGUUGUAGCAAUGUAAUCUGGGAACAUGUCGAGGAACUUGCAUAUUUUAAAUGGUUCCGACCCCAUAUCUCUGAUCACGGCUCCUGUAGCCGACAGCUGCGAAAGACACAAAGACUAAGGACACAAACAUCUUUCGUUUUUCUUAGUAAAGAAUAUGCAAACGCGACGAAUGACAAAAUCAUAAGUAAGUUGCUUCAAUGACAAUAUGGAUUUGUUGAUUUAAAUCAAAAGCUUAAGCUGGUGAGUUAAUUAGGCAUCGAAAUAAUAAUAAUAACAACGACAUACUUACCCAAUCAGCCCCAUAAAUCCUCUGAAUGGUGUUGUAAAAGUAUUCUCCCUUCGCCGAGUGUUCUAUCAAACCAUUUUGACUCAUUUCUUGAACUACUUUUGUUACAUAUGGUACCUAAAGCCAUACAAAAGUGUUACAAAUCAAAACAUAACAACAACUAAAAUGAAACACAACUGAUGGUCUGACGAAGCCGCUCCCUCGACCGCAGUUCCUCACGUUUCAGUCCAAGAUUGGUGUUGCCGAGGCACCUCCAUCUUGUGGGGGCGUGUAAGAGAGAUGAUAUAUUUGUAAUUAUACUUUACCUAAUCACUCUUGUAAUCUCUUUAUAUAUUUUGUAAACACUCUAAUGUAAUUGACAAGGCAUUCAGUCAUAUAAAAAAAUCAAAAAAUCAGGCCAUAUUUGCUAUAGCUCAAGUUAGUUCCUUACAAUUUCCAUUAUUAAAGAGUAAAGAAGAAAAAAAAAACUUAUAUACCUUCGAAUAGUAGUAACACACAAAUGUGAUCAGCUUCUCAAAGAAUUCCAAUGAAGGCUCAAUACGUAACGCUCUAUGAAACAUUGCACACGCCUCAAUGGCACUAUCAUUGCCAUUUUUAUCCUGAUCAGAAUCCAACCAAAUCAGGAAAGCCACUAAUUAGUUUCAAGCCAAACAAAAUUUUCUCAUACCAUUAUCACAAAAUGACAAUAACCACAUUUGCUGAUUUCAAUCAAAUCUAGUAAUGUUUUGGUUCCAUGGAGACAAAAAGUGUUAUCCUUAAAUAACUCAAUACUCAUGAUGGUAACAAAACAUAAGAGAAGAACUCUUCGGUUUGAUUGUUUUCUAAUUAAGAGUUUCAUAUGCUCGAUGACCAGCUAGUCAUGCCUGAACUAAUCCUAAACAAGUUCCUCGACUGGUUCGAGCUAUUGAAUCAAAGAAUAACUCACCAUGUCCUCAAAAUCGAUGCUAGUAGCGUACCAAAAAAUGAGGAGUGUAAUAUGCUCAACCGGUACUGCAAUAUAGAUAUGCAAAACAUAUCAAUUCAGAUUGACGUAUCAAAAAGAUUGGUGUAAUCUCACAAUUAUAUAGAUAAGACAACUUACAAGUUGUUUUCAGCUUCCCAAGUAACCUCUUAGCUUCAACAAAAUUUUCCGACCGUCCAAGAUAUUCGAAAAUUGGUCCCAAUUGUUCCAAUGAAGAAACUUUGGUUAUGUCUACAGUCUUUAACAACGUCUCAAGAAACUCAUCCUCAUUUGUUGCACAAAACGCUUCCAGAUAAUUUACUACAAAAUUUGAUCACAAGAGUUAAGCAAGAAGCAAUAUAUAUCUCUUUUAAACGAUUCUUCGCCUUACCUUCCAAGCUCGAUAGCUUCCCCCAUCUAUCGAUGAUUCCCCAACCAAUCUCCUCGAUCUUCUGUUCAUUAUUAAGCUCACACCAUAUAAGCAUUUCAUAGUAACCAAGCUUGGAUUCAGAAUCAGGAAUCUCUUCUUUAAGUAUACCAAUAAGAAACUUGAACUCCUCUUCCAUUUCUUUAUCAAUUAAGUAACAAAGACAAGAACUAUACAUCUCUUCUUCUAUAGAGAGACCUUCUUCUUUAACAAAUCUAAAAGCACUCAUGAUCUGUUCUUGGCCUUCACCAGAGGUAUAUGCAUCAUGUAUGGUUUUUGUAAAGAAUGCUUUACAAUUCUCUUCACUAAAUUUUACUCCCAAUCUGCGAAGUGUCUCUAACGCUUGAUGCCUUCCAUCGUCUUCAUAUAUCAAAUCUAUUAAAAGAUCAUUAUAAUAGCAUUUCCCAAUCAAAACCCUAAUUACUUAUAUUUCAAAGAUUGAAACAAAACUUUAGGACGGAGAUAACGAUACCUUGUCUGAUGAUCGACGGACUGUGAAGAGAUCGGGAAAUCUCAGCCGUUCGUAGAGAAACUCCGGCAGCGGCCGUGCCGCCAGAUGCGAAGCGGAAGAGUCUGCUCAGAGUUUUAUUACUUGCGGCUACAAUUUUCAUUCUAACCAUUGCUGAGAGAGAGGAAGAAGUGAAGAGGAGAAACGUGGUGAACAAGGAAAUGUUAUGACGGAAGGGAAACAAAGCCUAGGGUUUUUGGAAACCUAGAAAAUACUAUAGGGUUUAAAGAUGAAACGUGUCUUUUAUUAUAAAACUCCAUUAGUUUUUUUUACAGCUGGUUCAUUGUCAACCCUAAAAAAAUAAAAAAAAUCGCAAAAUUGAGAUGGUGAACCGCUACAAUCCUCGUCGUCGUUUACGUGGCCACGUCCUAGAAAACAAGAGAGCAAAAAGAGAUGUGAUCGACUCUUUACCUGAUGAUAUUCUCAUACAUAUCCUCUCCUUUGUCCCGACCAAAUUCGCCAUCAGAACAUCUGUUUUGUCAAAACGAUGGAGGAACAUAUGGUGCAAUACACCUCUCCUCUACUUGGAUAAUUGUAUAGUACAACCUUCUUCGAUUGAUGAAUCCCUAAAUCGCUACACAGCUCCCAAGAUAAAGUAACUUUUUCUCAAAACCAACUUCAAGUGCAAUGUUAAGUACUACAUCAAGAGGUGGACCAGAUUAGCCAUGUCCCGUAACGUGGAGAAUGUUUUCCUCCAAGUUCCUGUUCUUGGUUUUGAAAUUCUUGAUUGCUUCUUCAGCAAGAUUGAGUUAGCCUCUUCUAAUAAGAUUCGUCGAAACGUUGUAUCUUGGACAUCAUUGAAGAAGUUUUCCUUGCGUAAGUGCACUAUCCCUGAUGCAUCCAUUGCUAAGAUUUUAUCUGGUUGCCGGAAUCUUGAAUGUUUAACAUUGCACAAGUGCCAGCAACUAAGGUUUCUUGAUCUCCGCAAAAUGUUGCACUUGAGAACUUUAGAAAUAUACAGCCACUAUAAAGUCAAAAUGCGGAUUGUGGCACCACAUAUCCAUAGUCUCAGAUUCGUAACCUCUCAGUUACCAUGUACUUUAGUUAAGAUCUCGUCUUUAACCGAAGCGAGGCUGGACAUUUGCAUUAACUCAACAUGUCGGAUCUGCAAGGCUGAUUUUCUCCAAGACAUGAUGCUAGAGUUGCUAGAAAAGUUAAAACAUGUUGAGAAGCUAACUUUUGGUGGAAACUUUCUUCAGGUAUAUAUGUUUUGUGCUCAAGAUUAUCUUACAUUCUCUAACUAUAGUCUAACUAUUUUUUACGCUUUUUGUGCUUUCUUUUAGAUUUUAUCUCUUGCUGAGGUUCGCGAGGUUCCUUUUCCGAUGUUAAAGGUCAAAACUUUGAUUCUUGAGACAGUAAUCUUUCAGUAUGUUGUUCCUGGUAUAAAAAGAUUGUUACAAAACUCUCUUGAAUUAAAGAAGCUAAUGGUACGCGAAAGUGAUUAUACUAGUUUAUGAUUUGGAAAAGUUUAUGAUUUUGGAAAGGAGAAUUUGGAAAACACACCUUUUGUUAUAAAACUAGUUUAUGAUUUUUAAAGACUAUACUAUGUAUGUUUGGUACCCUAAUACUGUAUAUCUAUUUCAGUCAGAAAUUCUAAGCAUCGAUUUAUUGUAAGGAAUGCAUCUAUUAUGAAUAACUCAUCAAGCAUUAACAUGAUCAAGACAUCAAGCAUAUAUAAAAUAAUUUUUUUUUGUAAAACCAUACAUAUUGAGAAUCUAAUUAACUUAGGUUGAAAUAUGUUUUGGGCCCAAUCUUACAUUCUCAAAUGCUACUAACUCUCUUACUUAUUUACUCUACUCAUGGUGGUUGUAAAGUCAACGUGUGAUGUAUAAGUUUAUGAAAUCUUCCUGAUCACUAUGUGCUUUGGUAUUCACUAUGACACUACUUUUGGUGCUAUCUAUUACAGCUUUAUCUCUUGCUAAGGUUCGUGGUAACUCCUUUUCCGAGGUUAGAGGUCAGAACUUUGAAUCUUGAGAAAGUAAUCUUUCUGUAUGUCAUUCUUGAUUUAGCAAGAUUAUUACAAAAACUCAUAAAUCUUUUUUUUUUUAUGUUGACCAUUAGAGUUGCUUGACAAAACACAAUUGAUGUAUGGUACCCUAACAUAUCCGUUUCAGAGUGAGUCAAGAAUUAUAUAGUAACUCAUUAAUGUUAGCCAUUAAUGUCAACAAUUACUCGUCAAGCAUGAACAUCAACACAUUCAGACAAUAUCAUAAUGUUGCGAUUGGUCCAAGAUUUGGUGGUUGGUUAAUUAUACCAUUCUUGAUUACAUUAUUUAUACAUAUUUCUGAUUACCAGCAUUCGCAGGGACAUUAUAAACUUAGGUAAUAUUCAUACAUAUGUCAUUCUGUUGCAGUUUGAAGUUGCUUGUAGUAACAAAUCUUCUCCUAAACUCUCCAUGACAUAAAUAAGGUUAGAACCUUUUCAUUGCCUUCUCUAUAUUGAGGAGGCCACUUCUUGUUGGUGCUUUGUUGUUUUCGCCAGGUCGGCCUUACUUGUGUCAUCUGAGGUCAAGUGUCUUUCCUAAUGCUUGAGGUUUUUUUUAUAAAUACAUUUUUCAUUUCUUCCAAUGAUCCAAGAAUUAAAAAAAGAAAGGGAAAAUCGAACCAGAGCAUUUCGGUUAAAAACUAGAAAAAUAUACUUUUUGUGUUCCUAAGUAAUCUAAGUUUUAGAUUUUUAUUUUUAAGAUAUAUUUUAUGCUUUUAUAUGUAAUUUAUAUUGUUUAUUGAUAAUGAAUUGUAGACUUCAAAAAUUAUAUUUGAUAUUACUGGUUUAGAUUUAUAGAACAUUAUUAAUCACAAUUUUUUUAUUAUAAAUUAUUGUGAGAAGUUCUAAAAUUAGAUAUAUUAGGAAUAAAAAAAGCCGGCCUAAGCCACAAACUCGUGAAGCAUGUACUUGUGGCCGUGUUAUAGUUAUUAAUAUUUUGGCCCUCAUUUACUAAAAAGAGGUAUAAAACUAAAUUAUCCAUAUUAUUACACACUACCGACUUUUAGCACGUGCAAAUAUAACGGUCUAAUUAAGACAAUUUUAUAUAUAUAUAUAUAUAUUUAUUUAUAUUAGAAUGUUUAUAUUUCCUUGUAAAUAAAAAGUACAUAUAGAUUAAAAUAUUUUCAAAGUAGAAAUAAUCUAUAUUUCUCAAAACUUAGUUUACCUCAUAAAAUAUACUUUCAAUCAUCUUUCUAACACGGUUUACAAAUAAUUUUAAACAAUCCUGAUAUCCACUAAAAACCGCAAUCCAAUAACUCCGCAAAACAAACAUGUUAAUCCGAUGUGAUAUAUAAUAUAUCUCUACUUUUGUUCAUAUAUAGUAUCUCUAAUUGUGAAUUACUUCAUCCCAUAUCCUAAAGAGUUACAAUCCACUACACAUGAUCAUCUUUCAUUUCUUCCUUAAACCCCUUCCAAACUCAAACUCUAUUCACAUCUUGGACAAGUCUGAAAACUAAACAUACUCUUUGACUCAUAUAGUUUAUUAUAUAUGGUCUCACAUUCUUAUCCCUACCAAUUUGUAAUCAAAAGACAGCUAAAUCUUUUUUUUCUACAUAUCAUAUAAAAAAAUUAAUUCAUCAUCUGUUUGUUUCAUUGCCAUAUUUUUUGACCUUUUUUUAUAAUAAAGAUCUCAAAAUUUUAACUUUACCAUAAUAAAUAAAAAUAACAUAGACAAAUUAAGUAAAAGACAAACGCCGCCAGGGUGGAGCCACGUAUAAAAUUAAAAAAAAUCAAACCCGAAGACAACUCAUGUUAACCAAACCCGUACCCGGAUCCGAAACUAAAGACAACUCAUAAAAAAACCCGAACCCGGAUCCAAUGGCUUUGGUUGUCACAGCUGGAAACAGCCUGUCACCAACGGAGAGUUCUCUCUCUUCCCCUUCUUCUUCUCUCUCUCUUAAUCUUUUUUUUUUUCUCCUCCUCUCUUCCUUCUCUAUCUCCUCUCUUCUUCUCCUUUCUCUGUUUUUUUUUUUAAUAUUUUGCUUUCGUUUCCCUCAUCUCUUUCUCCGAUUCUUAACCCGUCUCCGCUCAGAUCUUCCCCGUUUCAAACUCUUUGGAUCCAGAUUCUCCUCCUUGUAAGCCUCUUCUUUAUAAAUUUGGUUUCUUUAAUCUCUGAUGGGUCUUGUUGUUCUCUUCGUUUGGAUCUGAAAGUUUUGAUUUUUAUUGUGUUCACGCUCGUGUAUUGACUUUUUUGUUCUGUGAUUGAAGUUUUGGGUAUAAUGUCUUUGAUGGGUUGGGGAUAAAGGUUAUGACUUUGGCUUUUGAGAUUGAUUUGUGUGGGAAUCGUCUUAAUCUUGAAGGUUGCUUUAGAAAGGUUGUGACUUUUUUAACUACCCGUUUUUAUUGACUUUUGGUGAUGAUAGAAUGUGUAAUUAAUCUAUGAAGAUGUUGUUGUCUUGGUAUUCAGAUCUAGGGUAAGGUGUUUGCUUCAAUUUUUUGGUAUAUUAGGUAUGGUUUUGAUCCUGUUUUGUUUUGUUCAGUUUAUGUAGGUGACACGCAUAUCAAGUGUUAAGGGUCAAGAUCACAAAAAGUUGUAUCGGGUGAUCUGGGCUGCUUCGUUUGUAAUCUAAAAAGCUAAUUGUGCUGUGUCUGUUCUUGACUUGGUGGACUUUGAUAGCUUCGUAUGUUUCUGAGUUGAAAGGUUGAAUCUUUCUACUUUUUUUUCAUCGAUGAGUAGUCACUAAUCUGGAAAUUUGUUGGGAGAGAAAGGCACAUUUUACUGCUACUGCUAGAGAUCUUUUCUGCAUCCAUGCUGGUAGAGAGCAUGCGUGGAUACUGUGUUUUGGGUGAUGCCCCUGACAAAAUUAGUUCCCGAUGCAUUCGGCGUGGUGACGAUAUGUCUAGUCGCUCUGCUAGUUCUUUUGGGUCUCCUUUGCAUCGCUUACUCCUUCUACUUCCAGUCUCACGUUCGUAAGCAAGGGUAUAUUCAACUUGGUUACUUCAGUGGUCCCUGGAUUAUCCGAAUUACAUUCAUUCUGUUUGCUAUCUGGUGGGCUGUUGGUGAGAUUUUUCGAUUGAGUUUGUUGAGGCGUCACAGAAGGCUAUUGAGCGGGUUGGAUCUGAGAUGGCAAGAAAACGUCUGCAAGUGGUACAUCGUUUCCAAUCUAGGAUUUGCGGAGCCUUGCCUCUUUCUGACUCUCAUGUUUCUUCUGCGUGCUCCCUUGAAGAUGGAAUCAGGAGCUCUGAGCGGAAAAUGGAACAGGAAUACAGCGGGUUAUAUUAUUCUUUAUUGUCUCCCGAUGCUUGCUCUUCAACUUGCGGUUGUGUUAUCCGAGUCCCGCCUAAAUGGUGGUAGUGGCUCUAUUGUAACGCUGCCACAUGACUUCACAAGAACGUAUUCCCGAGUUAAUAUUGAUGAUGAUGAGGUCGCCUUAUGCACAUAUCCUCUACUGAGUACCAUUCUUCUUGGUGUGUUUGCAGCCGUCCUAACAGCUUACUUGUUCUGGCUUGGAAGGCAGAUACUGAAACUUGUCAUUAAUAAGCGUUUACAGAAGAGAGUAUACACUUUGAUAUUCUCGGUCUCGAGUUUCCUUCCAUUAAGGAUUGUUAUGCUCUGUUUGUCGGUUCUCACAGCAGCAGACAAGAUUAUAUUUGAAGCCCUGUCUUUCUUGGCCUUCCUCUCCCUCUUCUGCUUUUCUGUGGUAUCCAUUUGCUUGCUUGUCUACUUCCCGGUUUCAGAUUCCAUGGCCCUGAGAGGUCUAAGGGACACAGAUGAAGAGGAUACGGCUGUGACAGAAGAACGAAGUGGUGCUCUGUUACUUGCACCAAAUACUUCGCAAACUGAAGAGGGCUUGAGCUUAAGAGGUCGGAGAGAUUCGGGAUCGUCUACACAGGAGAGGUAUGUGGAACUCAGCCUAUUUCUGGAAGCUGAGAACUAAAAUCGCCAAAGGCUGUAUCUAUUUGGCUUUUGGCAAUGUAUAGAUUCCUGGUGAAACAAGCAGAGAGAGAGAGAGAGAGAGAGAGAGAGAGAGAGAGAGAGAGAGAGAGGGGAUAAAGACUUAAGUAUGAGAAUAUGUUUGCAAAGAAAGGCAUAAGUUCAGUUUUGUGGCAAAGACGCUUUGACUGUAAAGGAGGGUUUAAAGGGGGAUUUACUCUUUGUGAGGGUUUGUUGUUUGAAAUGUUUUCUGCUUGAUGGAUCAUAUUUUUGUACCUUUAUUAUGUGAUCAAUUUUGAUUUAGAAAAAAAAAAAACACAAAACAAAGCUUCUUAGCCUUUUACCCCCUUUCAUGAACAUACUCUUCUAUAACAUCGAGAGAUCACAAGGUUAUGAUGUCCAAGCAUAUAAUGUAACCUUACAAAUUAGUGCAAAUGAAACAUGACGGCUCUAUAUAAGUUUAUCACAAUCUGCUAAUCUUCAUGACUAAAUGUCUAUCAAGUGCCAUUCGUAGGUGGUGGUAGCUUGAACUCAACUUAAAAUAAGUAACCCAAAUAUUGAACAAAUUAACUUGUCCAUUACCAUCAAUGUAACAUCACUUGAAUUAGUAACAGCAAAUUAAAUGUGUUGACUCAUCUGAUUACAAAAAGGGAGCUGUCUCUCUAACCUCCAAGAUAACAGAUUACUCAAGAAUUCUGGAACUUGCAUGAUUUCUCAUAUUACACAGCCUAAAUCUCUACCUAAAGGAUAAUAACAACAGCAAGAAGCAAGAGCAUCCAAUCCAUUGAGCUACUUCAUCGUUUACUUCUCUUGAUGCAUGCCGAUUCUUUUCACCUGAAAUACAAGACCAACCAUUCUGUUUGAAUCCAAACUCAAUUUAGGACCCCUUGAAGAAUCCAUAAAAUUCUUAUUAGGCAAAAGCAACACAACAAGCAAAUACAUGGCCUAUCAUUUGUUCAUGUAUAAGUUAAUGGGGUCUUAACUUCCUAGCUUGAAACUACAGGGAUAUUAUGCACAUGUCUCAUCUCAUUCUACCUACACUGAAAAAUUUACCCCUAUGUUAUUAUGAAUACCAUCCAUAAUAAAAGAAGAAGAAAGAAUAUACUUUGCAUUCAGAGAUCGAGCACACCAGCUUUCAAAUCAAACCAGAAAGAAUAUUUUAUGGUUUAAGCAAUCGGACAACAAAAGAAGCAGAUUUACCUGAACUAUGCCUGAAGCGACUACAUCUAGGAUGGAAGACAUAGUGCUGCAUCCUCCUCGGCUAAAGACACAACAUAAGGCCGAACUUUGAAUGUUUCAGUUAUUGUAUAGCUGAGCUCGUAAUUCACCACUUUCGUCCCAAAAAUACUGAACCUUCCUGCACUGUUGUAAGCAACCUCGGCAUCAGCACCUUUCCUAUAAACUACUCUAGCCCGGUUAUUUUCCUUGUCAACUUCAGUUUGCGACUCCUUUAUUGGUCCAAAAUGCCUAAACAUUUUACUCAGGCUCUUCUCAGCAGGUAUAGUAUCCACUUCAGAAAACUUCAUUACAAGUUCAGCUGGUGCAUUCUCAUCAAAGUUUGCCGGUUUGUCUGAGACUGAAAGAGGAAUAUUGAUCUGAGUCUGUCGUCUUCUGUAAGGUCGACGAGUCUUUUGAACCUGAGCAGGUUUCAACUCAACUGGCACAACUUGAUAAUUUCCUUUCUCAGUCGGUGACGUUUGCUCUUCACCACCAUUAUGAAUCACUCUGUCUGUCCAGUAUGUGUCGCCCAUUUCCUCAAACUCAAAUGCUUCAGUUUCUGUCACAUUAGAAUUGGAUGGUCUACCUCUUUUCUUGCUUACCUUUUCUAGGGUACCUUGCUGCAAAGCCGACGAGUUUCGGAAAUCUAAGAAAAAGCCAGCAGCAGUGUGAGAUAAAACGUUCUCUUUAUCAGGGUCUGUUGCUGCAUAGUGAAGCUGGGACACAAAACUCUCAACAGAAAGAGUGUCACCAUCAAAGUUACUACCCUUCAAAACUGAAGGCGAUUCUGCCAUCUGACUAGCAACUCUGGCUAUGCAUGCACCAAUCUUAAAGGAGGGCCUUUGUGCAAAAGACACCUUUGCCAAUGAGACAGUCUUCCUACCUUCUCCUGGUAAAUCCUCACUCAGGACAUCAGCCUUUCGUUUCACACCAUUCGCCUUAAUAUCAGAACCAGCUUCAUCCGUCCAGUAUGUGUUGCCCAUUUCCUCAAACUCGAAUGCUUCAGUUCCCGUUACAUUAGAAUUACUGGGAUCUUCUUCCAUAUCUGUAUCUUCCUUUUGAUUUGGCUCGAUACUUCGGGCUUCAUGAGUAAUGUCCUCUUCCUCUCUCGUUGUAUAUUCUUGAUCUGCUGUUUUCUUAUCGAAGCAUUCAUGAUCUUUGUUUUCAUGAUUUUCUUCAGAUCCCAAAAUUGCAUGAGAGGCCUCUUUUGAACAAUCGAUGGCAGCAGGUGGAGAUUUUUCUCCAGAAGCAACACAUGCUCCACUCGAUCCAUUUUCAAUACCAACCAAGGCAUCUUCCUCUGCCAUAUCAGCAGCUUUCUUAUCCUCUUUCAAAGAAAUAUUCCUGGUGUCGGUUUUAAUGUCUUGUAUAUUUCCUGACCAAGAUGAUACACCACUGAAAUCAAUAAAGUUGGUAAUAUCAGAAGUUGGAUCAAAAAGAGCAUGAUGAUCCAACGGUUCAACUUCACCUGGAUCAGCAUUUUCAGAGGGACUGUUUGGGUUUGCUAAAUCAGUAGAAAUAAUUGUUCCGGUAAGAUCACUUGCCGCAUCACCAUUAUCUUUCCGUUCGUCAAUUUCCAUUUCCUCUCGUACAUUUGAAGUAUUCACAUUAGCGUCAGCUACUGGAAUAUCUUUAACAUCAUCUUCCACCUGUUCCUCUGUCGCAUUAUCAACCUCCAUGGCUUCUCCGUUUUCUUCAUUUUGGUUCACAUUGGUUAUUUGUCCUUCAUCAUUUAUUUCAGCAGCAGAGCUAACUUCCAAAACAGUACCUGGAUUUACUUCGUUUGUUUCCCUUUCACUCAAUUGAAUAGACUCCUCUAGAACUAUAGCAUCUUUGGUCUCUGAUCCCACAUUCUCUUCAUUCCCCUGUUUGCUAUCAUCAUCCAUAUUAUUAUCAUCCACUUCACUCUUCUUUGCUGAUUCCUUCUCUUGAAUAACAUCAGAUGUCUCGCAUAGUUUCUCUUGUUCGCCAUCACCACCCAUUCCUUUAUCAUCCUCCUUCUCUUGGCCAGCUUUCGUUUCAGCAAUAUCCUCAACUUCACAAUUUUCCUUCUCAUCAGAUACUUCAUUCCCACCAGAGAUAACACUUUCCCCUUCUCCUGCACUUUCCUGACUUUCACCAUGGUUAACUUCAGACUUAGGCGUCUCACCAUUUCUCUCAACUUCAAGAUCUGUGGUAGCAUCAGUCAGUGCAACAUCAUCAACAACAUUAUCUUUAGGUUCCUCACCAGUAACCUCAACAACAUCAUCAUCUUCAACGUUAUGUUUAAUCUCCUCCCCACUAACCUCAACAUCAUCAUCAGCUUUCACAUGUUCCUCAUCAGAAACAAAAUGAUCCAUAUUGCCAUCUCCAGUAGCUAAAACUCCAUUAGUUGGAUCUGCAUCAAUCCCACUAACACCUAAUUCCGAAACCUGUACCGUGUUUGUAAACUCACCACCUAGGGUUUCAGUUUUAGAAGGUAAACCUAAUCCCUUACCAGCUUCCUCCUCCAUGGGCUCAUUGAAAAACUCACUCUCCUCUCUCUGUUCCUCCAUUAAAACUGUAUCCGGGUUGCAGCUCAAAAUCACUCAAUACAUCGAUGGAUCUUACACAAACGAAAUUACGAAACUUGGCAACUGGGUAAGACAAGUUCCAGAAUCAAAAACGAGAAAGACGAUUUUUUUGGAAUUUACCUCUAAGAUCUUGCGAGAAUUUGAGUAAAGAAACACAAAAGGGAAGAGCUUUGAGCUUGAAGAAGCGAAUUGUAGAAGAUGCUCUAGGAGAGAGAAAACAUACGAUCUCGUUUAAUCGAACUUUUAUUUCUGACACAGUCCCCAAUCUUUUAUCAAGUUUUAUAUUUAAGAUCAAAAGUUUCGAAAUGUACUAAAAUAACCUUUUUAAUUUGCCGUAAUUGUGCACUUUGAAUUUAAAAGGUGCUAAAAUAACCUUUCAUUAUAAAAAUUUAACGAACAAUUAAAACUGACUGUAAUUAGAACUUAUACAUAUACCACCUCUAUGUAUUACAUUCACAAAUAAUUAAGUUAACUAUUCUAUUUGAAGUAAUGUUUAUUUCUGAAAAUUCUUUUAUUAAUGGUUUUAACUUUUAACUAAAUACAUGAUGUAUUAACACUUAUAUACUAAAUUAGAGUUUGAAUCCCACUGAACUUGCUUACCAAAAUGUCGCAUAUAGAGUUGUUUGUAGUGUUUUCGUGAGUUGUAGAGAGAGCAUGUCCAUUAUGGGAUCUACAAACAUUUUUUUGUUGGGGGCAAAAAUUGAUUAAUUUUUGGAAAAAAUCAUAUUUUUCUAUGAGAACUAUCGAAUUGUAUCAGAGUCAAUGUCUUAUACAACUAUGAAAAAUUAUUUCUCAACCUAUAUUCACAUGAAUGCAUAGUUUAAUGUUUGAUUAACCAAAAAAUGGAAAAAAAUAACCUCAUUAAAUCUGAUUUUAAUCCAAAUAAAAGCCGGCCUGAUUUGUAAAUGACCUAACUCGAUAUCUUCUUCUGUAAGUGGAGUCGCGAGAUCAGUGAUUAUCGUUAAAGGUUGUAUAUAGUUUAAGAUCAUAGAGAAGAAGAUGGAGGAAGAAGAAGGGUGGAUUAAUCACUCAAUGAUUUUUCUCUCUUUUUAUUAUUUAGGUUCUUGAAGUUUUGAUAUGGGCUCAAAAUUGUGAUAUGGAUUCAUUUUGCUACAUUUUGAAAGUUUGGAGAAAGUGGCGAGAGAGAUUAUCAAUGACAGUUCACUUAAGCACGUGAUAAUAUCUUUGCUAUGUUUCUGCUUUUGUAAUUUUAAAUUUUCAUCAAAUUUGAUUUUUGUUUUCUUUUUUCUUGAGAAAUUGGAUGGAGAAUGAAUAGAUAUUGGCUCGGAUCAUUUAUGAAUUGGAUCGGUUUUAAAUUUGGUUUGGUAUCAAUGUUAAGCAGCUUGGUAUUUGGUUUAGUUUGUAAACCGACUAAACCAAGAUCUAUGAGGAAUUAGGUGGAAACUAUGCAUUCGUGGGGAACUAGGUUUGAAGAAAUUUUUUCUGAGAACAUAUAAGACGUGGUGUGAGCUCUAUAAAAUAUGAUGUCAUAGUUUGGGUGAGGAAAUAGGACAUUAUCCUUUAAAUUUUAGAUAUUAGAGCAAGCAGGAAAAAUGUAAACCAUAUUUUUUAUUUACAUUGAGAAAUGAAGGUUUAUUAAUUUUUGAUGAGGGCGCUUGCACGGUUGUAAUGCACCGAACCAAAACCGAGCCUAAAAAAACGGAACCGAAACCAAAUCAAAAAUUUUUAAAGACCAAAUGGAUCUUAUACUCAAGAUCCGAAAGUAUCCAAAACCAAAUUAUACCGAACUGAAACCGAAUGGAUAUCCGAAAUAUUUAAAAUACAAUUUAUAUACUUAAAAUAUUUGUUUUUUAGACAAAAAAAACUUUUAAAAAAAUAUAUAAAAAGAAACAAAGAUAACCGAUAGUCAAACCAAACAACUAAAAAACAUUCAAAAUAUGCAAAUAUCCGAAACAAAGCAGCACCUAAAAAUAUAAAAAUACUCAAAAAUAUCCCAAAAUUUCUGAAUAUCAUAACAUAUCCAAUUUUUUUUGGUUAAAACCAAACCAAAAAUAAUCCAAAAAUAUUAAAUAAUUAGAUCAGUUUUUUGUUCAAGAUCUGAAACCGAACCGAAAUCGAAAGUAACCGAAUCAAAACCAAACUGAAUAUCUGAACGCCCAGGACUAGUUGCACCCAUACCUCAAGCUAUAGGUCUGUCCUAAUGGGGAUGUCGUACAAGCAGAACUUUCUAUUGUAGUAGAUUUGAGUGUCGCAUUGAAAUCUGCACCUUAAGAUUCAUUGUUUUGUGAGAACUGUUCAUAACAAUCAUCAUAAUAUAUCAAAACAUCUCUAAUGUUUAAUUACAUCUACAUGUUUACUUAACUUGUGAUUGGAAUUAUAUAGCUCAAUAAAUGUGAAUAUGGUCAACAAUAAUUGUAGUUUAUAGUUAAUUGCUUGUGAGUGUGAUCGACUAUAUAUAGAUUUGUGAAUGUAAUCAAAUAUUAGUACGUAGUAUCCUAUCAACUUUUCAUAUGAUAUAUACUAGUUCUAGUUAAUAACAUGUUAGCGUGGAGUAAGAGAGCUUUAUAAAUCUUCUCGACUUCAAAAAUAAUCCAUAUUUUAGCUACAUGCCAUUAGAUAUCUUGAAGAAACUCUAAUAUAAUUUCAUGUUUCAGCUUUGAGAAUCGGACACUAAGAAAUUGAUCGAUCCGUAUAAAGAUUUGAUCGAACUACGGUAUUGGCAAAAUCAUUAAACUUCUAUCGAUCUCUUAGAAUACAAAAAGGGAACUGUCUCUCUAACCUCCAAGAUAGCAGAUAGAAUUCUUGAACUUGCAUGAUCUCCCCUAAAACCUUAAUCUCUACCUAAAGGAUAACAACAACAACAACAAGAAGAAGCAAGAGCAUCCAAUCUAUUGAGCUACGUCGUCAUCGUGUACUUCUCUUGAUGCAUGCCGAUUCUUUCACCUGAAAUACAAGAUCAACCAUUCUGUCUGAAUCCAAAUUCAAUUUAGGACUCCUUGAAGAAUCCAUAAAAACAAGAAGUAAAGAUAUUAUGCAUAUGUCUCUUCUUAGACUACCUACACUGAAAAAUCUACACCUAUGUUAUUAUUACUACCAUCCAUAAUAAAAGGAGAAGAAAGAAUAUACUAUACAUUCAGAGAUACAGCACACCAGCUUUCAAAUCAGUAAGGCUUUAUUUUAUAGUUAAAGCAUUUGGAUAACAAAAGAAGCAGAUUUACCUGAACUAUGCCUGAAGCGACUACAUCUAGGAUGGGAGACAUAGUGCUGCAUCCUCCUCGCCUGAAGACACAACAUUAGGCCGAUCAUUUAAUGUUUCAGUUAUCGUAUAGCUGAGCUCGUAAUUCACAGCUUUCGUCCCAAAUAUACUGAACCUUCCUGCGCUGUUGUAAGCAACCUCGGCAUCAGCACCCUUCCUAUAAACUACUCUAGCCCGUUUAUUUUCCUUGUCAACUUCAGUUUGCGACUCCUUUAUUGGUCCAAAACGCUUAAACAUUUUACUCAGGCUCUUCUCAGGAGGUAUAGUAUCCACUUCAGAAAACUUCAUUACAAGUUCAGCUGGUGCAUUCUCAUCAAAGUUUGCCGGUUUGCCAGAGACUGAAAGAGGAAUAUUGAUCUGAGUCUGUCGUCUUCUGUAAGGCCGACGAGUCCUUUGAACCUGAGCAGGUUUUAACUCAACUGGCACAACUUGAUAAUUUCCUUUUUCAGUCGGUGAUGUUUGCUCUUCACCACCAUUAUGGAUCACUCUGUCCGUCCAGUAUGUGUCGCCCAUUUCCUCAACCUUGUAUGCUUCAGUUCCUGUUACAGUAGAACUAUUGGGAUCUUCUUCCAUUUCUGUAUCUUCCUUUUGGUUUGGAUUGAUACUUUGGGCUUCAUGAGUAAUGUCCUCUUCCUCUCUCAUUGUAUCUUUUUGAUCUGCUGUUUCCUUAUCAUGAUCUUUAUUUUCUUGAUUUUCUUCAGAUACCAAAAUUGUAUCAGAGGCCUCUUUUGAACAAUAGAUAGCAGCAGCUGGAGAGUUUGCUCCACUCGAUCCAUUUUCAAUACCCACCAAGGCAUCUUCCUCUGUCAUAUCAGCAGCUUUCUUAUCCUCUUUCGAAGAUAUAUUCCUCGUGUCGGUUUUAAGGUCUUGUAUAUUUCCUGACCAAGAUGAUACACCACUGAAAUCAAUAAAGUUGGUAAUAUCAGAAGUUGGAUCAAAAAGAGCAUGAUGAUCCAACGGUUCAACUUCACCUGGAUCAGCAUUUUCAGAGGGACUGUUUGGGUUUGCUAAAUCAGUAGACACAAUUGUUCCGGUAAGAUCACUUGCCGCAUCAGCAUUAUCUUUCCGUUCGCUAAUUUCCAUUUCCUCUAGUUCAUUCACGUCAGCUUCAGCUACUGGAAUAUCUUUAACAUCAUCUUCCACUUGUUCCUCUGCCUCAUUAUCAAUCUCCAUGGCUUCUCCAUUUUCUUCAUUUUGGUUAACUUCCGAAACAGUACCUGGAAUUACUUCGUUUGUUUCCCUUUCGCUUAAUUGAUUAAACUCCUCUGGAACUAUAGCAUCUCCGGUCUCUGAUCCCACAUUCUCCUCAUUUCCCUGUUUGCUAUCAUCUUCCAUAUUCUUAUCAUCCAUUUCACUCUUCUUUGGUGAUUCCUCAGCCUUGUUCUCGUAAUCACCAUUAUUCUCAUAAGUUACAUUUUCCCCUUCUCCUGCACUUUCAUGACUUUCACUAUGGUUACUCUUAACUUCAGACUUAGCCGUCUCACCUUUUCUCUCAACUUCAAGAUCCGUAGUAGCAUCAGUCAGUGCAACAUCAACGUUAUCUUUAGUCUCCUCACCACUAACCUCAACAUCAUUAUCAACGUUAUCUCUAGUCUCCUCACCACUAACCUCAACAACAUCAUCAUCAUCAUCAACGUUAUCUUCUGUCUCCUCAACAUCAUCAGCUUUCACAUGUUCCUGAUCAGAAACCAAAUUAUCCGUAUUGCCAUCUCCAUUAUUUGGAUCUGCUUCAAUCCCACUAACACCGGAAACACCUGAAUCCGAAACCUGUACCGUGUUUGUAUCCUCACCACCUAGGGUUUCAGUUUCAGAAGAUAAACCAAAUCCCUUACCAGCUUCCUCCUCCAUGGGUUCAUUGCAAAACUCACUCUCCUCUCUCUGUUCCUCCAUUAAAAGAGUAUCUAGGUUGCAGCUCAAAAUCACUCAGUACAUCGAUGGAUCUUACACUAACAAAAAUGCGAAACUUGGCAACUGGGUAUGGAAAGUUUCAGAUUUGCAAGAACCAAGAACGAGAAAGAUGAAAUUUUUAGGAAUUUACCUCUAAGAUCUUGCGAGAAUUUGGAGUAAGGAAACACAAACAAAACGGUAGGGCUUUGAGGUUGAAGAAGCGAAGUGAGAUAUUUACUUACGAUCCCGUUUAAUCGAAUUAGCUUACUUAUAUAUUUCUGAGACAUAACCCUGAAGUUUUAUCAAUUUCUGAGACAUAACCCUGAAGUUUUAUUAUGUUUUGUUUUUAAUAUCAAAACUUUUGAAAUAUGAUUAUAUAACCUUUUGUAAUUAUCCGUAAUUGUGCACUUUGAGUUUUAAAGGUGCUAAUAAAAAACCUUUCAUAAAAAAAAAUAUACAAUUUUUCGUAAUGGUGAAAAUUGAAAACAUUUUUAAAAUAAAACAAUCUCUUAUUAUUGAUACAUAAAAGAUUAUGAGCUAGUCAUGAUCCUUUUAUCAUUCCCACGAAUUUCUCAAGUGAAUUCUGUUACCACGUGAUAUAUAUAUCCAUUUGCUUGCUUGUCUACUUCCCCGUUUCGGAUUCCAUGGCCCUGAGAAGUCUAAGGCGCAGGGAUGAAGAGGAUACGGAUGUGACCGAAGAAUGCAGUGGUGCUCUGUUACUUGCAACAAACAUUUUUCAAACCGAUGACCAUCAAUGUCCUAACAUCAAUUGGUAUAGUAACAGCAAACUAAAUGUGUUGAGUCAUCAGAUUACAAAAAGGGAAUUGUCUCUCUAACCUCCAAGAUAACAGAUUACUUGAAGGAUUCUGGAACUUUUACAUAAUUUCUCAUAUUACACAGCCUAAAUCUCUACCUUAAGGAUAACAACAACAACAACAACAACAACAACAAGCAAUCAAGAGCAUCCAAUCCAUUGAGCUAUGUCAUCGUUUACUUCUCUUGAUUCUUUCACCUGAAAUACACGAUCAACCAUUCUGUUUGAAUCCAAAUUCAAUUUAGGACCCUUUGAAGAAUCCAUAAAAUACCGAUUGGGAAAAAACAACACAAUAAGCAAAGAUAUUAUGCAUAUGUCUCUUCUCAUUCUACCUACAAGGAAAAUUCUACACCUACGAUAAUACAACCAUCCAUUCAGAGAUACAGAACACCAGCUUUCAAAUCAGUAUGCUUUAUUUUAUAGUUUAAGCAUUCGGACAACAAAAGAAGCAUAUUUACCUGAACAAUGUCUGAACUCUGAAGCGACUACAUUGAAGAUGGAAGACAUAGUGUUGCAUCCUCCUCGCCUAAAGACACAACAUAAGGCCGAACUUUGAAAGUUUCAGUUAUCGUAUAGCUGAGCUCGUAAUUCACCGCUUUCGUCCCAAAAACACUGAACCUUCCUGCACUGUUGUAAGCAACCUCGGCAUCAGCACCCUUCCUAUAAACUACUCUAGCCCGGUUAUUUUCCUUGUCAACUUCAGUUUGCGACUCCUUUAUUGGUCCAAAAUGCCUAAACAUUUUACUCAGGGUCUUCUCAGUAGGUAUAGUAUCCUCUUCACAAAACUUCAUUACAAGUUCAGCUGGUGCAUUCUCAUCAAAAUUUGGUGGUUUUUCUGAGACUGAAAGAGGAAUAUUGAUCUGAGUCUGUCGUCUUCUGUAAGGUCGACGAGUCCUCUGAACCUGAGUAGGUUUCAACUCAACUGGCACAAUUUGAUACUUUCCUUUUUCAGUUGGUGAUGUUUGUUCUUCGCCACCAUUAUGGAUCACUCUGUCCGUCCAGUAUGUAUCGCCCAUUUCCUCAAACUCGAAUGCUUCAGUUCCUGUUGCAUUAGAACUGGACAGUCUAGCUCUUUUCUUGCUUACCUUUUCUGGGGUACCUUGCUGCAAAGCUGAGGAGUUUCGGAAAUCUAAGAAAAAGCCAGCAGCAAUGUCUGAUACAACGUUCUCUUUAUCAGGGUCUGUUGCUGCACAGUGAAGCUGGGACACAAAACUCUCAACAGAAAGAGUUUCACCAUCAAAGUUACUACCCUUCAAAACUGAAGGCGAUUCUGCCAUCUGACUAGCAACUCUGGCUAUGCAUGCACCAAUCUUAAAGGAGGGCCUUUGUGCAAAAGACACCUUUGCCAAUGAGACAGUCUUCCUACCUUCUCCUGGUGAAUCCUCACUCAGGACAUCAGCCUUUCGUUUCACACCAUUGGUCUUAAUAUCAGAACCAGCUUCAUCCGUCCAGUAUGUGUCGCCCAUUUCCUCAAACUCAGAUGCUUCAGUUCCGGUUACAAUAGAAUUAUUGGGAUCUUUUUCCAUUUCUGUAUCUUCAUUUUGGUUUGGAUCGACACUUUGGGCUUCAUGAGUAAUGUCCUCUUCCAUUCUCAUUGUAACUUUUUGAUCUAAGCAUUCAUGAUCUUUACUUUCUUGAUUUUCUUCAGAUCCCAAAAUUGCAUCAGCUGGAGAUUUUGCUCCAGAAGCAACACGUGCUUCACUCGAUCCAUUUUCGAUACCCACCGAGGCAACUUCCUCUGCCAUAUCAGCAGCUUUCUUAUUCUCUUUCGAAGAUAUAUUACUGGUGUCGGUUUUAAUGUCUUGUAUAUUUCCUGACCAAGAUGAUACACCACUGAAAUCAAUAAAGUUGGUAAUAUCAGAAGUUGGAUCAAAAAGAGCAUGAUGAUCCAACGGUUCAACUUCACCUGGAUCAGCAUUUUCAGAGGGACUGUUUGGGUUUGCUAAAUCAGUAGAAACAAUUGUUCCGGUAAGAUCACUUGCCGCAUCAGCAUUAUCUUUCCGUUCGUCAAUUUCCAUUUCCUCUCGUACAUUUGAAGUAUUCACGUCAGCUUCAGCUACUGGAAUAUCUUUAACAUCAUCUUCCACCUGUUCCUCUGUCGCAUUAUCAACCUCCAUGGCUUCUCCGUUUUCUUCAUUUUGGUUAACAUUGGUUAUUUUUCCUUUUUCAUUCAUUUCAGCAGCAGAGCUAACUUCCAAAACUGUAACUGGAUUUACUUCAUUAGUUUCCUUUUCGCUCAAUUGAAUAGACUCCUCUAGAACUGUAGCAUCUUUGGUCUCUGAUCCCACAUUCUCUUCAUGUCCAUGUUUGCUAUCAACAUCCAUAUUAUUAUUAUUCACGUCACUCUUCUUUGCUGAUUCCUUCUCUUGAUCAGCGCCUGAUGUCUCGCAUCCCAAAUUACACUCCUCAUCGUAAGAAUGACAUAGUUUCUCUUGUUCACCAUCAUCACCCAUUCUUUUAUCAUCGUCCUCGAUAUUCUUUGUGGAUUCCUUCUCUUGGCUAGCUUUCUUUCCAGCAAUAUCCUCAACUUCACAAUUUACCUUCUCAUCAGAUAUCUCAAUCCCACCAGAGAUUACACUCUCCCCUUCUCCUGCACUUUCAUGACUUUCACCAUGGUUACUCUUAACUUCAGAGUUAGCCAUCUCACCUUUUCUCCCAAUUCCAGGUUCCUCUAUAGCAGCAUCAGUAAGUGCAACAUCAUCAUCAUCAACAACGUUAUCUUUAGUAUCCUCACCAGUAUCCUCAACUUCACAAUUUGUCUUCUCAUCAGAUACCUCAUUCCCACCAGAGGUUACACUUUCAUGACUUUCACCGUGGUUGGUCUUAACUUCAGACGUAGCUGUCUCACCAUUUCUCUCAACUUCGAGAUCCGUGUUAGCAUCAGUCAGUGAAACUUCAUCAUCAACAUUAUCUUUAGGUUCCUCACCACUAACCUCAACAUCAUCAUCAACGUUAUCUCUAAGUUCCUCACCACUAACCUCAACAACAUCAGCAUCAUCAGCGUUAUCUCUCGUCUCCUCACCAUUAACCUCAACAUCAUCAGCUUUCAUUUGUUCCUCAUCAGAAACCAAAUUAUCCGUAUUGCCAUCUUCAGUAGCUAAAACUCCAUUAUUUGGAUCUGCAUCAAUCCCACUAAUACCUGAAUCCGAAACCUGUACCGUGUUUGUAUCUUCGCCUACUAGGGUUUCAGUUCUACCAGCUUCCUCCUCCAUGGACUCAUUGAAAAACUCACUCUCUUCUCUCUGUUCCUCCAUUAAAGAGUAUCUGGGUUGUAGCUGAAGAUCACUCAAUACAUAGACUGAGCUUAAAAUUGCAAAACUUGACAAAUGGGUAUGAAGAGUUCCAGACCCAACAACGAGAAAGAUGAAUUUUUGGGAGUUUACCUCUUAUUAUCUUGUGAGAAUUCGAGUAAAGAAACUCAAAAGGGAAGGGCUUUGAGGUUGAAGAAGCGAAGGGGAUACUCGAAGAGAGAGAAACCUUUAUGAUCCCGUUUAUCGAACCAGCCCAGAAAGUUUUUUUUAUUUCUGACAUAUAUCCCUGAAAGUUUAUCAAGUUUUGUUUUU
rnacentral:lncRNA from 1 species